UUAAAAAAAAAAAAAAAAAUUUAAAAGAAUAUUUAAGAAAUAUUAAAGAAAUAUUAGAAUAAUUACAAAUAUAUCUUAAAUUAAUCUAAAUCAAUUCUUAUUUUAAUUCUAAUUGAAAUCCCAAUAGACUUCAUCAAACUCUAGCUCAAAUUAUAAAUCCUAAAAAAAUCCUAAACUCUUAAUCAAAUCCUAAAUAAAUCCUAAAUUCUAAAUAAAACCUUAAAUAAAUCUUAAAUCCUAAAUCAAAUCCUAAAUAAAUCCUAAAUCAUAAAUAAAAUUUUAAAAAAAUUCUAAAUUCUAAACCAAAUCCUAGACAAAUUCUAGAUCCUUAAUCUUAAAUCUUAAAUAAAUCCUAAAUUCUAAAUCAAAUUCUAAAUAAAUCCUAAAUCCUAAAUUAAAUUUUAAACAAAUUCUAAAACUUAAAUCAAAUCCUAAAAAAAUCCUAAACUCUAAAUCAAAUACUAAAUCAAAUCCUAUAUCUUACUCCAAUACUAAAUCCUAACCAAACAUUAAUAAAAUCUAAAUCCUAAUCUAAUCCUAAUCUUGAAUCAAAUCCUAACCAAAAGCUAAUCAAUUCUACCUAACAUUUGUAUAAUUUAGAAUCUCAAUAUCUAUUGAUUUAAUUUUUGAUCUUACUUAGAAUUUUAUAUACUUUUUAACAAUUAAAUUAGUAAUAAACACACAAAAUUUGAAGAUAAUUUUACUUAUCAAAUCAAAAGAAAAUCCUAAAAUCUGCUCGAAAGUUAAAUAGCCACUUACUUCAAUCUAAAUGUUAAACUUUUAGUGCCAAUAUUUCCUUUUCAAACCAUUCAAUUAUUCUCAAAUUUCACAUAUAUAUAACAAAUUAAGUUUAUUAUCUUUAUAAAUAAAUUUCACUUCAAUCCAACUAAUAGCUUGCUAAAGAUCUUAAAAAUUCUAACUACCCUUCAAAGUUUGAUUUUUAAGACUUCAACCUACUUGAAGUUUAAUAACCUUCAAUUCAGCCAUUCAAUCAAGCUCAAACUUACAACAGAUACUUCAAACAACUAUUCACAUAUGUCCUCAAAAUUUGAAUUGUAGAUCUACUAUCAAAUUCAGAAUUUUUUUAAAAACAUAACAUCCUUUUUAUUUUAUAAAUUCUAUAAUCAUCCAAAACAACUAUGACUUUGGAAAGCUCUCACAAAGUCAUUACACACUCAAAUCAUUUAACAUUGAUUUUUAAAGAAAAUUUAUUAAUUUUUUUCUCAAAUCUUUCUCUCUAAUCUACAAAAGAACCCUAAAGUUAUUGUAGGUACAUAAUUUUGUGCCUUGGGGUCUAAUUUCGACCCAUGUUGAUAACUAGUCCUUUUUAGGUAUCAAUUUUUAUUCUUUUGAAUUAAUUUUUAUUAAAAUCAACUCCUAACUUAUUUUUAAAUAUUUUCAUAUUCUUUAUUUUCCUAAUCUACUUUGUUUUGCCUUAUUUAUGGGCUUACAAAGUAAGUAGAAUCCUACUUUACAAAAAGAUAGCAUUUAUAUCUUUGAUUUUACUUUCUUUUGAAUUAUUGUUUAUUUUCUAAGUUAAUUUUUUAUAAUAUUUGAAGUAAGAUCUUUUAUAAUAUAAUAAUUUUUUCAUCAUUUUUACCAAUUAUUCAUAUUACAUUUUAACACUGUAAGUGGUUUUCAAAACCUCAAAUCAAACUUGAACCUUGUUCCUUGCCAAAUUUUCCAACAACUCUAUUUUUUCCUCUUUUCAAUCCCCAACCUUCUUCUCCCCUAAAAAAAAAUUUAAAUCCUUCAUAUCAAAAAUUACUAUUCUUAAUCGUUUCUGAAUAAUCAUCUUGAAUUAUUAUGGAGCCAAGUAUCUAUCCUAAAAGAUAAUACCCUCUAGCUCGAAUAAUCCAUUCAAGAUAACAAUUUCAUAUUCUAAAUUCUAUUCAAAUUUAUAAAUAUAUAAAUAUAAUAUUCUUCUUUCUUCUUAUAAGUAAAAUUAAUUACCUUCUAAUUAUUUUUGAUGCACUUAAAUUAAGUAUAUCACAACUUUCACUCCCUCUAGGCCCAUAUACAUGCUUAUAUGUACGAAAGAAUUAGACCACAAUACCUUCGUGAUUAAGAUUAUAGUCAUUAGGAGCCAUAUUACUUUUUAAUUACUGAUUAAAAUAUUGAGACUAAAAAACUUCUAAAUCCUCUACAUAUUUCAUCCCAUAUUGCUACUUAAAAACUUGAAUUUACUUUUUUGAAAUUCUUGUCUUCAAUGGUGUCUCAUCUAACUUUUAAAGAGAAUAAGUUAUAUUUUUGUACACUUCAACUACCAUAUAGGAUUCAAACCAAUGCUAUGCAAACUUACAAAGAACAAAAUAUUGAUACACCAAACUACUAUCAUAAAUCAAAAUCCAAUCAUCUUCUUUAAUUGACUUAGGCUUCAAUCAGUGAGUUUUAUUGAACUUUUCUUUAUUAUUCAACCUUGUCAUUUUAAGCUUCUUUAAAGUAACUUGAUGAUCCUUAGGUAAUUUUUUUAAUUAGAAAAUUAAAAGCUUCAACAAUCUUUUCUUAUCAAUGGUAUCUUUCUAAGAUAAAAAUAAUCAAGAAAAAAUAGAUUUUUUUUUAGGCAUUAAAGACUUUUGUCCCAAUAUCAACUCUAUUGGCAUAUACCCAAUAUUUGUGCUAUAAGUAGUCUUAUUUGAUUAUAAAAUAAAUAAAAAAAGCCUAGGCCACAACCUUGAUUAAUUUCUAAAUGCCUUCAUCUUUGCUAUGACAUCUACCUUUUCCGAUUUUGAUUUUCUUCUAUAGCUUUCACAUAAAUAAUCCAACAACCAUAAUUUUGUUAAAUCCAAAUGUAGAUUUUUUAAGAAAUAAAGUAAUAUAUACCUCCUUAAGUUUCUUCAAAAUGCAAUCCAUAUCUUCAAUAUAUUCUUUUUAUAAAUGUACGACAUUCAUCCUCUUUCAAAGUCAAAUCUUUAGUCUCUUCUUGCAAUCCUUGAUUGAAACAUCAACUAAAAAAUAUGGUCUUCUUUGAUACAAAAUUCUUUAAAGUUUAAUCUACAUAUUUAGAGAGCAUCUCUAGAAACUUUUUUCUCUCCUCCUUGGUCAAAAAGUCACUCUCUCCAAUCUUCAACUUACCCGAAGACUCCUUGAUAAAUUUAUGACCAAUCUUUCUUGACUCCCUCAAUUCUGGCUCUAUAGUAGCUUGUUUGAUAUGCUCUUUGGUGUCUUGAGAUAAUUGAAUUUUUAUGGUGUUAAGUUGUGGUUUGGCUACCAUGUGAAAAUAUUGUAUUUAUAUAUUUGAUAUAUGAUUUACUAAGUAACAUGGUAAGAGCUAUGUUAAUGAAUUUUACUUAGUUGUAGAAUAGAGUUAGAUUACUUUCUUAAAAAGAGAUUAUUUAAAAGGACUAUUAUUAGAAUUUAUAAUUUUUUUUUUUUUUAAUAGUAUCUUUUGAAGUUGAUCUUAUUAGUAGUAUCUUUCAAACAAUUAGAAUCACCCUUAUUAAACAUUGGUGAUCCUUGAAGUUUUAUUUUGAUUCUUUUAUUUGAUGUUUAGGGUAUAUAUUAUAUAAAUCUUAUUAGAAAAAGGGUUGGAGAGGGGUCUUGAAAGCAAAAACAGAAGUUAGGGCAUCCAUAUGGAUGAAUGGAGAUGGAUGAUAAAAAUCUCCAUUCCUAUUGGCCAAAAAUCAUGCCCAAUGGGCUUGAAGUAGGCUGUUUGAGGCCUUAUUAGGAAUUAGGAUUAUUUUUUCAGAGGCAUUCGAACUUUGGAGGCUAAGACCAACAAAUUUAGGUUUUUGGCUAUGAUUUUGGUGAAAAUUUUAUGUAAUUUGGAAUUUAAAUGAAAGAGAUAUGGAGGCUCAAAGUUAAGGUGUUGAUUUUGUACCUACUGUCACUCUUUUGGACAUAACACAUGCAUACAAAAAGAAAUAAAGGAUAGGCGACUAAGAUUUGUAAGAAAAUUUUCUUAUCCAUACUUUUUUCACAUUUUUUGAUAGAUUCUAAGUUGGAAUAAAGGAGAUAUUAGAGAUUGAAGUCAGCACUUGCAAAUUUAAGGGUAGUAAGUGACCCGAUUCACUAGAGGUUGUAUUUUGAGCUAUAUCUUGAAUAAUUUGAUGAGAUUUUGGUUCAAAAUUUCCAAAAAUGUAUAUAGUUAUAUUAAUAAAUUUUGUACAUAAAUUUUGUGGCAUUUGAAUUUUGGAUUUUUGAGAUAUAAAGAAAAUAGUACUCAGGUGCUUAUAAGUUAGGAUUUAGAGCAUCUACUAGGGUUUCUAAAAUGUCAAAAUAUUGGUAGCGAUUUUGUAGUUUAUUUUUUUUGUAGUCAAGCUUAAAAGUAAUAACUAAAUUAUAUUAAAAUCUUAAAGAAAUUGAAUCAUUGGAUUAAAAGAUAUGAAUUUUUAAAGUUUAGAAAGAAAAAAUCUUUUAUGGAAAAAAUAUAUUUUGAGGAAUUUUACAUUUUAUAUAAAAUUUCUUUUCAAUUUGGAUAUUUUAUAUAAAGUGAAGAGGUUUUGGAAGCCAAGAAUUUAUAUAUAAAUUAAAGAUGGAAUAAAUCACUUAUUGGAACUUAGUCAAUAAGUUAAAACUAAAUUCUCUAUAGCUAAACACUCCAUAUAUUCUCUAAUUACAAAUUAUGCUAUGCGACAAUGGGUUUUACCUUCUUGGCCAUGGACUUAUACUUAGUAUAUACCAUAGCUUCUUGUAAUAUCAUAUAACUAUCAAUGACUCCAAGCCUCUUCGAAAAUUCAAAAACCUCUUUAUAUAUUUGUCUUAAAUAAAGCUCUAAAACAACAUUAGCUCCAUUUCUAUCCAUACAUAAAGCCAAUCCCUCUUAAACUUUUACAUAAUCAUCUUCAAAUCCUUCUUCUUCAAUAAUACUCAAAAUGAACUUACCACUUGAAAUUAUACUCAAUCUUUUUAAAUUUUUGAAAAGCUAAAAAUACAAUCUAACUUUUCUUAAAAUUUCAAAAUAAGAAGAAGAAAAUACAAAAAAUGGCAUAGAAAUUCCUAAUCAAUCUUGAAUCUUGCCGCUCAAAAAUUCUAGCAACACUCCUUUCACAAAUUCACAUGGUUCUCCCUCCUCAUAAUUCCAUUUCAUGCGUGCUAUAGUUUGUUGGAAAGCUAUUAAUAUAAUCUAAUUUUUAAAACUAAUCAUUUUUUACUUUUUUUAAAGCUAAUAAAACUCCAAUAACCUUAUUUUUUACAAAUUUGCAUGGUUUUUUCUUAUUAUAGCUUCAUUUCUUACAUACUAUAGCUUAUUAGAAAGCUAAUAAUAUGAUCUAAUUUCUUUUAAUAUUUAAAAAAAAAAAGAUGAAAAUUUUGUAAGUGGCCUUCAAAAUCCCAAACUAAAGUUGAAUCUCGUUCCUCUCCAAAAACUUCAGUGACCCUCUUUUUUGCCUCUCUAUCCUAAACCUCCCUCCCUUUUUUAAAAUUAAAAAAAACCUUAAUGUCAAAAAUCCCUAUUCCUAAUCCUCUCUCAAUAUCUAUCUUAAACUAUUAUAGAGCAAGGUAUUUAUUCUGAAAGACAAUACUUUCAAGCUUGAAUAAUCUAUUCAAGACAUCAAUUUUACAUUCUAAAUUCUAUUCAAAUUGUAAAUAUAUUAGUUAUAUAUUCCUCCUCCUUCUCUUUUAUAUGUAAAAUUAAUUACCUUCAAAAUAUCUUUGAUGCACUUAAAUUAAGUGCAUUACAAUAGUUUGCUAUAAGUUGUUGGAAAUCUAAGAACGUGAUCUAACUUCUCUCAAAAGUUCAAAACAAAAAGAUGAAUGUUUAAGAAAUGCAAUAGAAAACAUCAAACCAGUUUUAAAUCUUGUCACCCAAAAACUCUAAGAAUCCUCUUGUCACAAAUUUUCUUGAAUCUCCUUUGUCAUAGCUUCGUUUCUUAUGUACUAUAGCUUCUUAGAAAGCAAAUAAUGCAAUUUAAUUUCUCGCAAAAUUUUAAAACAAAAAGAUAAUUUUUUUAUAAGUAGUCCUCAAAAAGUUGAAUUAGGCUUGAAACUUGUUCUUCAAAUUUUCCAGCAACCCUCCUUUCUCCUCUUUUUUACUCCCAGCCCCUCUUUCCCCUUCCAAAACAAUUUAAAUCCUUGAUGCUAAAAAUCCCUAUUCCUAAUCUUCUUCUAAUAUCCAUCUUAAAUUUUUAUAGAACCAAGUAUUUAUCUUAAAAGAUAAUAUCCUUAAGCUCAAAUAAUCUAUUCAAGAUAAUAAUUUUAUAUUCUAAAUUCUAUUCAAAUUUAUAAAUAUAUUAAUAUUAUAUUCUUUCCAUUCCUAUAAAUAAAAUUAAUUACCUUUUAAUAAUCUUUGAUGCACUUAAAUUAAGUGCAUCAUAACAACGUUCAAAAAAAUUCAAUCUGAUCCAAUUUACAAAUCGUGAAAAAACGUCCAAAAAACCAUGGUGAUGUCACUUGGUUGCUAACUUGAAAGUUGAAGUAGAUGUUCUAGUAGCAUUUUUUUUCUUCUUUAAUUAUUAACUUUAAUUCAAAAUUGGUGUAUAGCUUCAUUUCUAAGUCUUUUAAUAUCAUGCUAAAUUUAAUUUUGUUCCAAGUAAUAGAUCUUCAAAUAUCAUAGAAAUUCUAUAUCACUCCAAAUUGCCAAAUUCUAAUACCAUCUUGUACCAAAAAAUAGAUAUCUUUCAAAGAUACUAUUAAAUUAAUAAAAAAAUUUAUGCACACUUAGUACACCUAAUCAACCAAGUACUUUCAAAUUUUGAACCAUAGAUGUGAUACCAAUUGUAUGAACUAGUUGAGAGUACUAGUCCUAAUUGUAUUUUAUAAAUCCAAAGUUAUCAAUACAAAUCUUGACUUUGAAUAACAAUUACAAAUUAAUUCCAUAUCUUAUGAAAAAUAAUCUUAUAUUUUUGAAACAAGCUUAAAUCUAGCUCUUUAAUUAUAAUUUUUAAUCUCCAAAUAUCUAUAUACUUUGUCAUAGAUAGCUAUUUUAGUAGUUGGAGGACUGAUUUUGACCUUGUUCUACUAAUAGUCAAUCCUUGCAUAUCAAUCCAACCUAUCUUAGGAAUUUUUUAGCCUAUUCUAAUCUUCAACUUAAUCUUAUUAUAAAGCAUAUUAAUUAUUUAUCUCUUCUAACUUAUUUUUAUCAAUUUGUAGCCUUUAUAAGGCACUAAAAGAAUUUUUAUAGCCUAGAAGAUAAAAUUAUUAAUCAAUCUUUAAUCUAUUAGCUAUUAAGACAAAAAAAUAAAUUAAGAGAAUUUUUUAAAAGCCAUGUUUAAAUUUUUUAAAUUAUUAUUAAAGAGAGAUCAUUAAAUAUUAAUUAAAAAUUUAUUUUUGAUUAUAUUUUUAUCAUAUAGUUAUGUUACAACAUGACAUCCAUCUCUUUUUAACUUGUGCAUCUUCCAAUAUGUGUCAAAUGAACCAUAUGUCAUAGUUGGUAUUAUACCAUCUCUUAAUUUUUGCAUCAAUUCUUUCAUUAUUAUUUUCACCAUCUAUUUCAAUAUAGUUAUUUUCUUCAAAAAUAUUCAUAUCUUCAGUAUGAUCUUCUACAUGGAUUUUUCUAUCUUAUCUUUUGAAAAUCUUCACUUAUUUUUCAGCAACAGGUAUCUUUAACCUUAUACCAUCCAACUCCUUCAAUGAUAUGUAGCAUUAUCAUGGACUAAUACCACCACAUAUAAUCUAAACCAACAUUUUAAAAACUUUCGUAGAGUACUAUGCUAAUUAUUUAAACUACUAUCAUAAACAAAUAUCCAAUCAUCUUCUUUAAUUAUUCUAGGCCUCAAUUAAUGUUAUUUAUCUAUUCAAGCCUUAUUCUUUAGCCUAACCUUUUGUAAUCUUUUUAAUAUGAGCUCUAGAUCUUCUGAUCUUUAUUUAAGUUGUUAGAUGCUAAUAGCCAAGAAUUCUUUUCUUAUCGACCUAUCUUCUCAAGGUAGCAUAUUUUAAGUUGACACAUAUUUUUCAAUAGGUAUAAUAGUUUUUUGACCUAUCAUGAGUUUCACUAGCAUAUAUCCUAUUAUUAAAUUAUAUGUUAUUCAAUCAAUCCAUAAUACAUAAAAUAGAAGUCAAGGCCAUUCUUUCACUAUUCCAUUGCAAGCUUUAAUCAAGGCUUUUAUAAUUAAUGCAUGUCCACGUUCAAUCUUUGUUUUCUUCUUUAGAUUAUAAAUAAUAGUCAAUGAUAAUUUAAUUUUAUAUUUUUUAAAGAAUUCAUGAGCUUUAUGUACAUCCAAUUUUUUAUGAUUUGAUAUAAUCUUUUUUACACAUUUAUAAUGAAAAAUAACAUUUUCAAGCAAAAACCUUUAAAUUUCCUUUAUAGAUUUUAUUCUUAGUAUCCUAUCUCCUGCUUGAUUUAAUAAAUCUUUAUGAACUAAAAUUAUUACCUCAUUUAUCAUAGUUCCAUUGGAAUAAUAAUCAAAUCCACAACCUAUUUAAAAUAAAUUGCCAAAAGAUAUGUUGGAUGUAAACCAUCUUUGUGUCAUAUAUUUGAAUAUAUUUGAUAAGUUACAUAAGAUUCUACAAACAAAGCUACAUCUCGAUACAUAUUCUUCCACUAAUAUUGUUCCUUCAAUUUAAUAAAAAUAGCCCAAAUUCUUCUAUGCCUCGUCUAUAGACUAUCAUGAAACUCCUUGAAUAGUUUUUUUGUAUCUUUUUUAAUACCUACUACUCAUUGUGGCAUUUCAAUGUUUGAUUUUGGCCUCUUCUAUAGAAGUUAAUAUGAACUUAUAUACUUUUUUUCUGAUUUGUUUAAAAUUUUCAACUAACCAAUGAGCAUGCUUGAUUAAUAUGCUCAAGUAAUGUCUAAUAUCUAAUAACUCUCUUUUAUAUUUUUCUUUAUGAAAUGGCUCAUCUUCCUUCUUUAAUUGUGAAAGCAAAUAAAUUUUUUUACCCACAUCAUUAGUAUCCUAAAUCAUCUCAUUUUUUCCAUCAUAUUUUAUUUGAAAUAAUAUAUCUACUACCAAAUUGUCUUUUUUUGCAACAUGCUUAAAUUAUAGAUUUAAUAACUUUAUAUAAGCAAUCCAUCUCAACAUUACAAUAUUCGAUGUUGUACAAUUAGUAAUUAUUUCAAAUAGAGAAAAAUAAUCUAUUUUAAUUACUAUCAUUUUUUUAAUCAAAUAAUAUUUUUAAGCUUUUAUAGCUGAAACAACUUUCCAUAAUCUCCUUUUCACUUAUAAAUAUACAUAUUAGUGAGUACUAUAAAACCUUAGUUUUAAAUUGAAUUCCAAAUCUGUAUCCAUCCAAAUCAUCUUGACCUACAAUCCAUCCAAUGGCAAUUGAAUUAGUAUCUACUAUAAGAAUCACUAGUCUAUUGUACUUAUAAUCAAUUUUUUUCAAUAUUAAGAAUAGUAUCAAUAAUUUCUUCAAUCAUUAUAAUAUAUAUAUUUAAACCAAUAAUCUUUGCAUAAUAAUUCAUAUAAUAGAUAUCCUAUGUAAGUAUAGUAAGAAAUCCAAAUAUGAUAUAAUACACAUGUAUCCAAAAACCUACGUACUUCUAUUAAAGAAUUACAAUCCUCUUUCAUUCUUUCAAUUGCAUCAACUUUGCUUGCAUCUGAUUUUUUUCUAUAAAAUCUAUAUGAAUUUCCAACAAUUAUGACUUCUUAUAUCUCAAAUGUAAAUUUUGUAUCCAAUAAUAAACUUCUUGAAGCCAAGUCAAUAUUUUUUUAUAAUCUUAUAUAUAAUCAACAAUAUACUUGCCACACCCCCUCUUAUUUGAAGUUUCAUCAUUGUCUUUUUUUUUUUUUGUACCUUUCAUAGGAACAUCAUGUAGAAAAGGCAUAGUCUUCUUAGGAAUAAAAUUCCUCAAUAUCUUAUUUAUUCUAUUGUCGUAUGGCAUGAUUUGUAAUCUCAAAAUACAUGGGAUAUCUAGUUAUAGAGAGCUUAGUUUUAACAUAUUGGCUAAGUUUUAAUAAGUAAUUUAUUCCACCUUUAACUUAUAUUCAAAUUCUUGGCUUCCAAAAACUCCUUUAUUUGGCAUAAAAUCUCAAAAUAUAAUAUAAUAUUUUCAAAAUAUUUUAUUUUAUUUUUAUUUUUAUUUUUAUUUUUAUUUUUUUUUUAUGCAAAAGAUUUUUUUUCCAUAAACUUUACAAUCUUGUAUCUCUUGAUCUAAUUGUUUAAUUUUUGUCAAAUUUUUAUAAAAUAUAGCUAUCAUCUUUAAGCUUUACUACUAAAAGAUAAAUUAUAAAUUUGCUACUAAUCUUCUGGUAUCUUAGAAAUCAUAGCAAGUGCUCUAAAUCCUAACUUACAAGCACUUGAGCACUAUUUUCUUCAUAUCUCAAAAAUCCCAAAUUCCAAUACCAUAAAAUUUUUGCAUAAUAUUUAUUAACAUAAUUAUAUAUAUUCUUAAAAAUUUUAAGCUAAAAUCUUAUCAAAUUCUUUAAGAUAUAAUUUAAAAGAUAACCACUAGUAAAUUGGAUCACUUACUAUCUUUAACUUGUAAGUGCUAACUUCAACCUCCAAUAUUUUCUUCAUCUCAAUUUAGAAUUAAUUGUAUAAUAAAUAAAAAAUAUAGGUAAAAAAGUCUUCUAUUCAAUCCUACUUGUUGAUCCUUCAUUGCAUUCCUAAUGUGCAUGUUAUGUCCAAAAGAAUGACAGUAGGUACAAGAUCCACACCUUAACUUUGGAUAGCUAUAUUUUUCUUAUAAAAACUUCAAAUCAUCCAAAAUUUGCACCAAAAUCAUAGCCAAAAAUCUAAACUCUCUGAUUCUAGCCUCUUAAGUUCAAAUGACAUCAAAAAAAUAAUCCUAAUUCCUAAUAAGGCCUUGGAUUAUCUCUUUAAAGCCUAUUGGGCAUCUCUUUUGACCAAUAGUAAUUGAGAUUUUUAUCAUGUAUCUCCAUUCAACCAUACAGAUGCCUUAAUUACUCUUUUUGCUUCCAAAACUCAUUUUCAAUCUUUUUUUUUAUAAUUUAUAUAAUAUAUGCUUUAAUAUAUGUUUUAAUCUUAUUUUGAAAUAAAAUAAGAUUUUAAGAAUCACCAAUGUCUAAUAAAGGUGGCUUUAAAUAUAUUGAACUAUUAUCAAUAUAAAACCAACUUCAAUAAUAGCCUAUUUAAACUAACCAUUUCAAAGUAGUAAUCUAAUCAUAUUUUGUGACUAAUUAAAUUUUAAUAUUGUGGCUCUUAUCACAUUGUAUAGUAAAUUGUACAUUAAAUAUUUAUGUACAUUACUUUUAUAUAGUAGCUAAACUAUAAUAUGUCCAUCUAUCCCUUUUAAAUCCAUUGUUACUUCAAUGUCACAAAGUAGUUUAUAAGGUAUUGAUUUAUUUUUACCUUUUGUCUCUUUUGUAUUUUUUUCUAAUAUUGAUGAUGUAUCUUUUGUAGGUAAUUUUUAUGAAGCGACCUCACGAGCCUUGUCUGUUUGAGUUUGUCUCUUGGAAGUACUUUUUUUUCUUGUGUCUUCAAAAUCUUGCAUCUUCUUCUUUUCUAUUAACGCUUUAUAUUGAUUUUUUUGUAAUAUAAGCAUGCUUUCACAAAGCUUCCAUAAGAUCCUUCCAACAUAUAAUUUCACAAAUUAUAGUAGCAGUCAUCAAUAAUGCUUCUUGUGAUAUCUUCUUUUUUUGUAUUAUAAAAAUAGUGAAAGACCAAAGUCCACUUGAUAUAAUAUUUCCAAAAAAAAACUUUAUUUGCCAACAUCAUCCACUCUAGUACUAUAACUUGUAGCUUCCAUUGUUGUAACUCUAUAUACAAUCAAAUAAUUCUUAAUAAAUACUUUUAUACCUCCCUUAGCAAAAUUAGUUUAGAGAAGAUUAUUAGUAUCCUUCAAUGCUAUCUUUCUAUCUUUCCAAAAAAUAAUAUCUUGUACUAUUUUAUUCAAUUUUCUACAAUUUUUUUGAAAAUAAAAAUCAUCAUCACAUCAAAUAAAUUUGUAUAUGUUGUUGUAUAGUAAUACAACUAUAUAGUGAAAAAUAAAAACAUGGAUGUUUUUAUAGAAGAAACUAGUAUAAAAAUGUGAUAGAAAAAUAAGGAUAAAUAAUAGGAAGAUAAUAAAAGGUUUAGUUUUAAUGCUACUUUUCAAAGAAGAGGCUUUUAUUUGCUUUGUAGAGACAUAAAUGCCUCAAAUCAAAGUAAAUGAGAUAAGUGAUUAAUUUAGACAUAUUUAAAAGUGAGUUACUAAUAGGUGUAAGAAAAAAUUACCUCAAAUUAUCAAAUAUUGAUACCUAAGAAGGACCGGUUGUCAACUUAGGUUGAAAUGAGAUCUUAAGGUACAAAACCACGCACCUAUGGCAACUUUGAGGUUCUUUAGUAGAUCAAAGAAUGAGAUUUGAGAGAAAAAUUAAAAAAAAAUUUCGAUCAUUGCUUUUAUGUCAAUCAAGUUAAUAUUCAGUUUUUGGAAGCUUUUCAAAGUUAAUGAUGUUCUUGGUUGGAUUAGAUUUUAAAAAAUAAAGUUAUGUUUACAAAAUUGAAGAUUACUUACAUUUUGUGGUAUGUAUAUGGAUAAAUUUUGGAUAGAGUGUUGGUAUACUAGUUGUAAAUAUGUAUGCAAAAUUUAAAAUCAAUCAAACAAUUAGAUCAAAGUGUAGGAAGGUGUUUGUAAAUUGAGAACUCAGAAAGUAGAGUUUGAAGAUUAAUGAGUAUCUUUAAGAUUUUUAGCAAUCUAUUAAUUAGAUUGAAGUGAAUUUUUUUGUUUAGAGACUAAACUUGAUUUUUAACAAUAUAAAUAAAUUUUAAAAGUAAUUCAAUGGUUUUUGAAGGAGAUAUUGAUAUUAAAAGUUCAACAUUUAGAUUGAAGUAGGAGGCUAGCUAAUACCCAAGUAGAAUUUAGGAUUGAUCUUCUAUUUGGUAAAUUUGAUCUUUUUCAAAUUUUUUGUACAUAUUGCCAAUUUAAUUGUUAAAAGAUUUGUAAACUCUUAAGUAAGAUCAAUAGUAUAAUUGAUAGAUAUUAAGGUUCUAAAUUACCUUAGGAUUAGAUAAAUUUAUCUAAGAUUUGGAUUAGGAUUUAGUUACGGUUUGACCUAAGAUUUAAUUAAGAUCCAUUAAGAUUUUAAUUAGAACUAAAAUAAAAUUAUUUUAGGAAUUAUUUAAUUUUUAUUUAAGAUUUUUGUAAUAUUUAUUUUGGAUUUCUAUAAGAUCUAAUUAUUAUUUCUUUAUUAUUUCUUUAUAAUUUCUUUAAUUUUUUUUAAAGAUUUCUUCAUGUUUUUUUUGUGAUUUCUUUAAGAUUUCUAUUAGAUUUGAUUAAAGCUUUCUUAAUAUUAUUAAGGUUUAAUUAAAAUUUAUUUAGAAUUCUAUUAGAAUUAUUAGAAUCUUAUUGUUGUAAUUUUUCUUCUACCUUUUAUACAUUAUAUGAUAAUGUAUCCUUGCUUAAAAGUAACCUUUGAACUUGUUGUGGAAGUCUUCUCCUCAAGCCUGGCAAAUUUGAUUUAAAGAUCUUGCAUUUCAUGUACAAUCUUUUCAAGUUUCAUAUCUACUUUCUUUGAUGUGAUCAUUGGAGGUUGGACAAUAGGUAUUGUGAAUUAUAAAGUAGAUACUUGAAUUAUAAUUACUUGUCCAAUUCUUUAAAUUUCAACCCUAUUCAUUCUUUUUUCCAUGUUUGUAAGUAAUUUUAUAGUAUCUUUAAUUUUUUUCAUUUUGUUAUCAAUCCUUCAUCUUUUUUUUUAUUCUCAAAAAGAAUUUUUAAUUUUUCUUGCAAUUCUCUAUUAACUAUUCAAAAAAAUAAUUCAAUCUUAUUCAGCUCUAUAGUUAAUUUUUCUAUCUUUAAUAAUGAAGAAUAUUGCAUUUCAAAUUCUUUCAAAAAAUUUAUAGUUUAUAAAUUUUUGUUAGUCUACUCAAUUCAUUUCAAAAAUAUUUUUUUAGUAAUCUAAUUAGUAUUCUCUAAAAAUAUUUGUCCUUUAAUGCAUGUAAAUAUGUCUCCCAUUAUUCUCCAAAAUGCUCUAUAAUUGAUUUAAGAUAUUUUCUUAUUUCUAGUAUUAUAAUAAGUCCAAAUAGCUCAAUCAUCUUCUUUUUAAAAAUCUAAUUAAAUUCUAUUUUUUAUAUAUAAUAUCUUAUAUACUUUGAAAUAUCUCUUCAAUCAAAUUUGUCAAUUUUGUUAACUAUUGCUUGCAAUGCUUUGGUUGCCAAAGCCUCUUUGCAAUCAUUUCUUUGUUGCUAUUAUAUAAAUAAUGUAAAUGCUUGAAAUAUAUUUGCAGUAUUUAGAUCAAAGUAUAUAUUUGGUCCACUAAUAGAAAAUCUACUUAAAGCUCUACUUGAAGAUCCACUUGAAGCUUCAUCCAAAGUUCCAUUAAAAACUUCAAAUUUAACCUUCUCUUUUUAUGCAAUUAAUUCCAAAUAACCACAAAUAAUAUCUAAUAUCUUAUACCUCAAACUUUCAUGUUGGAUUCAAUACUUAAGUUGUAUUAUGUAUUGUCUUGUUUAAAAAUAUAUUAAGCUCGUCACAAAGAAAGGUAGAGUUAUGAUUUACAAAUAUCCAAGAAUCCUAAUUAGUUUUGCCUAUAUAAGAAUAAUGCAAUUCGAAUUUCAAUUCAAAAGUACUUAAAGCUAAUAAAAAAUAUUCAAAAAUACUCUUCUUAAUAACCUCAAUUAUAUAUAAAGUCUAAUUUCUUUAUUACUUUCAUAAUUAGAUAAUUUUGAUAUAUAUUUUUUUAACUUCUAAUUCUAAUCAAUGAGCUUGUCGAAGUUGUAACUCCUAAUCUAAUUAUUCACUUGAUACAAAAUUUUGUACUUAAAUGCCACUAUAAGUAUUCUAUAUGCAUAGAAAAAUUCAAACCCAAUCAAAUUUAUAGAUUUAAAAAAAAUAUCCAAAUUUCAUAUUUGGUUUUGACUACUAGAUCUUCAAAUUUUAUAGAAAUUCUAUCUUACUUCAAAUUACCAAUUUUUGUUACGUGCUUAUACCAAAAACAAAAUAUCUCUCAAUUGCACUAUUAGAUUAAUACAAAAUUUUAUACAUACUUAGUUUGUUUAAUAAAAUAAUAAUUAUCAAAUUUUAAAUUAUAGAUGUAAUAUCAAUUACACAAACUAGUUGAGAGAGCUAGCCUUAAUUGUAUUUCAUAAAUCUAAUGUCAUUAAUACAAACAUUGAUAUUGAACAAUAAUUGAAAAGUCAUUCUAAAUCCUAUGAAAAUUAAUCUUAUGCUUGAAACAAGCUUAAAGCUAGCUCUCCAAUCUCAAUUAUUGAUCUCCAAAUAUUUUGCCUAAGGCAGUGUCAUGGACAUACUCAUGUAAGCUAGUAAUUACAUAUACAAAUAGGUAGAAGUAAGUAAAAGUAGGUAAAAGUAAGUUAAUUCUAUAGUAUUUAAUAUGGAAGCUUCUUAGAAGCUUCAUAGAUGCUGCUUUGACUUCAUAGGUGUCUUUAAUUGACUUUUUGGAUUAGAAAUGUGGUCAACAAGUUGGCCAUGUGCCACACAUGUUGUUAGCUUGAAGAUCAAGCUAACUAUGUGGCCCACACAUAGAAAAACUUGCCUUGUAAGUCAAGGCAUGUGUCCUACAAAGUCAACACAUAUUGGAGGUCCUAUAGAAUAUUGCCACAUAGUCCCUAGUUAGAUAGUAUAUAUAGAGACAAGAGUGAAGCCUUCUUCACUCUUGUCAACUCCUUUCUUGCUUCUAGUCUAAUUUCAAGGGUCUCUAGUUUUCUUGUCUUUUGGCAAUAGCCAUUCUAGUUUCUCUUUCAAUAUACAUACUUAUUUAUUUAUAUUUUGUUACCUUUCUUUGAGUGAAGGCUCACUUAUCUGGAUUAUUUUUUCAUCGAGUUCUUGACCUUGACAGAUUGACAAGAGUACACCUACAAUAUCAGAGCUUUGUCUAAUCUUGAUUAAGAGUGGAUUAUUCUUUUUUCUUGAUAAGAUAUAAGCAUAUUAGAAGUUGUGGAUUACCCUCUUCUAAACUGAUAUUGUCUUUAGUAUUUUCUUUGUUCUCAAGUCCUCUCUUCUAUUUGUCUUGAGUGAUAUUAGACAUCUUCUCUUUUUUAAGUGUUAUCAUAACAGAACUUGUUGAAAUGAAGAAUGCAAUGGCACAAAUGCAAGAGCAAUUGAAGAAAUUAAUGUUUGGGAUGCAUCAACUUAAUUUACCACCACAAGGAGCAAUAAGAUUGGCAGGAAGUGAAGAUAUAGAAAUGGUUGAAGCUGCUUCAACAUAUGCACCAAACCAUGUCCUUUCUCCUAUGGUGGAACACCCUUCCAGUAUUAGAGAACCAAGAAUUGCCCUACCCGAGAAGUUUGAUGGCAUCAAAUCCAAGUUUCGAGGAUUUAUCAAUCAAGUGCAACUUGUGAUUGAACUUCAAUCCCAAAGCUAUUCAACUCCAGAAUCGCAAGUUAGAUUCAUAGAUACGCUUCUUUCAAGUUCAGUACUAUCGUGGUUUUCAUCUUUCCUUGAACGACAAGAUCCAAUAUUGGAUAAUCUAGAGGCUUUCCUGGCAGAGUUUCGAUCCAUGUAUGGAGAACAUGAUGCAAUUCGUGUUGCAACCAAUAAGAUCCAUAUUUUACGACAAGGCAAUUGAUCAAUAACGUUGUAUGCUUUACAAUUUUGACAACUUGUUACUGAUAUCAAGUGGGAUGAUGCUGCACUUAUUAGCCAAUUUUUCUAUGGAUUACAAUAUGAGGUAAAAAAAUUAAUGCUCAACUUAUCUGAUCCUCAAACAUUGAGUCAAGCAAUUGACUUUGUUGUGAAGUGCGACAAUCACCUUUUUGAAUUUCGAUCUGAGAAUCGUAUAAGUGGACCUCAAUGUUACUAUAAUUCAAUGGCAACACCAACACCUCUUCAACACAUACAUUCGAAAGUAGAGAAAAUACAAAUUGAUGCAGUACGUUUCAAACCUCUUACUAAGCAAGAAAAGAUUCGUUGUCGUCAAGAAGGAUUAUGUUUAUAUUGUGGAGAACCAAAGCACACUACUCAACAUUGUCCAAAGAAACGAUGCAAUCACAAAAUGAGGAGUAUGGCUGUGAAAGAAGACAAUAUGUCAGAAAACGAGUUUGUCUAGCUACAAUAGGGACCGUGUGGUUGGAACCUUGCACAAAAUCUAGUAAAGGUCUUAUUCUCUCCUCAGAGCCCUCUUCUUGUUUUACAUUAAAUAUUAUUUUAGGACCUAAACAUUACAAAGUCUUUGCCUUGUUAGAUUUGGGAGCCUCAGUGGAUUUUUUAGAUGAAGAAUUUACUAAAAGAUAUAGCAUAUCUUUAGUAAAGAAAACUAAACCUGUUCAUGUAGAAGUCAUAGAUGGUCGUCCAUUGUCUUCUGGAGAUAUUACUCACGAAACCCUUCCUAUAGAAGUAAUAAUCAAUAGUCAUAAUAGUUUUGUAGUAUUUAAUAUCAUUAGAUCUCCCUCUAAUCUAGUCAUUUUAGGUUUACUAUGGUUAGAAAAAUACAACCCUCAAAUAGAUUGGAUUUCUUGAACUCUUACUUUUUCUAAAAGUAUAACUAACAGUGUAGUUAAUCAAGUACAGAGUCAUAAGUCCAGUUCAAUUAAACUCGUAUUUAUAGGUGUAAAAGCUUUCUUGUAUGUUGCUAUGAAAGAAUCACCAUAUAUUAUUUAUGCCGCACCUAUUCUUACUGGUGAAAAGACUUCAAGUGGCAUUCUAAGCCAAUAUCAAUAAUUUCAAGAUGUAUUCGAAAAAAAGAAUGUGGAUACACUCCUGGAACAUCGUCCCUAUGAUUGUUCAAUUGACCUUCAAGAAGGAGCACAACUGUCAUUCGGACCAAUCUACAAUUUAUCACAAAAUGAGUUGACUGAACUCAAGGAGUAUAUUGAAGAAAAUCUAGCCAAGAAUUUCAUAUGUCAUUCUAAAUCUCCGGCAAGAGCUCCAAUUCUAUUUGUGAAGAAAAAAGAUGGAUCAUUGCGGAUGUGUGUUGAUUAUCAAGGACUCAACAAGAUUACCAUCAAGAACAUGUAUCCACUACCUUUAAUAUCUGGACUUCUUGAUCAGCUGAAUCAACCUAAGAUCUAUAUAAAAAUAGAUCUCCGGAGAGCAUACAAUCUAGUACGCAUCAAAGAAAGAGAUGAAUGGAAGACUACGUUUUGAACUAGGUAUGGAUAUUUUGAAUACAUUGUCCUGCCUUUUGGACUUACAAAUGCACCAGCAGCUUUUCAACAUCUAAUGAAUGAUGUUUUUCGAGAGUUUUUGGACAAUUUUGUGGUCUGUUAUCUAGACGACAUCUUGAUUUAUUCUAAGAAUUCAGAAGAACAUAAACUUCAUGUUCAUCAUGUAUUACAAAAAUUAAGAGAUGCAGGACUCUAUGCCAAGAUAGAAAAGUGUGUAUUCUACACUAUUCAAGUCGAUUUCUUAGGUUACAUCAUUUCAAAUGAUGGACUUAUGAUGGAUCCUAAGAAAGUUCAAACUAUUAUAGAUUGGAAGAUCUCAAAAACAGUAAGAGAUGUCUAAUGUUUUUUGGGAUUUGCCAACUACUAUCGGAUCUUCAUCAAAGACUUCUCUCGAGUUGCAGCUCCACUUACACGUUUGACUUGUAAAGACAAACUGCAAUGGAAUCAAGAAGCGGAAGUUGCUUUUGAAUCUUUGAAGACAGCGUUUGUUUCUGCAUCAAUCUUGUAUCAUGUUGAUUUUUCUAAAGUAUUUUUUAUGGAAAUAGAUGCAUCAGACUUUGCUCUGGGUGCGAUUUUAUCACAAAUGGGAACAGAUGACAAACUUUAUCCAGUAGCCUUUCAUUCAAGAAAAUUCUGAGCAGCAGAAAUCAAUUAUGAGAUCCUUGAUAAAGAACUUCUUGUAAUUGUGGAUUCUUUUCAAGAAUGGCGUCAUUAUCUAGAAGGCGCUUCCAUUCCUGUCACCGUGUAUACAAAUCACAAGAACCUUGAAUAUUUUAUGUCAGUAUGCAUAUUAAAUCGUCGUCAAGCUCAUUGGAGCAUGUCUUUAUCAAGAUUCGAGUUCAUCAUCACUUAUCGGCGAGGAAAACAACAAGGUUUAUCUGAUGCCUUGUCUAGACGUUCUUAUCUUGUACCAAAAGAAGGAGAUGCAGCUUUUGAGCAACAAAGAAUAGUUCUCUUGAAGCCGGAGCAAUUUCAUCUUCGAGCAAUAAAAUCAACAUUGACUGUUGAUUUAACUUUUCUUAAGCAAGUCCAGUUAAGUAUGUCUUCAAACCCUCUUUUUCAUGAUAUCAAGAAUAAUUCUUUUAAAUCUCAUGAUCCCUCUAAAUUUGAAUUCAAGAACAACCUAGUCUAUUUCAAAGGAUGCCUAUAUGUUCCAGAAGGAGAAGCACGUUUACGUGUUCUUCAAGCUCGUCACGAUUUUCCAUCAACAGGACAUUUAAGAUAUAAUAAGACUUUGGAGCUAAUAUCUAGGGAUUUUUGGUGGUGUCAAAUAUGGAAGGCAGUCAAAGAUUUUGUACAAUCAUGUGAUGUUUGCUCAAGAUCAAAAACUCCUCGUCAUCGACCUUUUGGACUUCUUCAGCCAUUUCCCAUUCCAGAACAACCAUGGUCUUCUGUUUCUAUGGACUUCAUCACGGAUCUUCCAAUCUCAAGUUCUUAUGAUUCUAUAUUCGUGAUAGUAGAUCGUUUUACCAAGAUGGCAUAUUUUGUACCAUGUACAAAAUCUAUCAUAGGUGAAGAAAUAGCUAAGCUUUUUCUUAAUAAUAUCUAUCACUAUCAUGGAUUACCCAAGGAUAUUAUAUCAGAUAGCACAACUCAAUUUAUAUCAAGAUUUUGGUGGACUCUUUUCAAGAUUCUAAAAGUAGAUAUAAAACUAUCUUUGGUAUUCCAUCCUCAAACUGAUGGAUAAACGGAGCGUGUUAAUCAAGUUUUGGAGUAAUAUUUAAGAUGUACCAUUAACUAAUGACAAGAUGAUUGGACAACUCUUUUGCCAUUGGCAGAGUUUGCUUACAAUAACACGGUACAUUCUUCUACAAAACAAACACCUUUCUUUGCUAAUUAUGGUUAUCAUCCAUGACUUGAUACUUUUGAUUUUUCAAAAGUUGAUAAUCCUGCUGCAAAAGAUUUGACGAUUCAUUUAUCAGAGCUACAUGGAAUGAUAAGGGCGCAGUUAAAAGAGGCUCAAGAAUAACAAAAGGUCAAUGCGGAUGUCUAUCAAAAGAAACAACCACCAUUCCUCUUGGGUGAUAAGGUAUGGCUACUUCGUCACAAUAUCAAGACCACUCAUCCUUGUGACAUGUUGGACUAUCGAACGUUGGGACCAUUUUCUAUUUUUAUACAAAUCAAUCCAAUUGCUUAUCGUUUACAUCUACCGGAGUCAAUGAAAAUCCAUCCAAUAUUCUACAUGUCUCUUCUUAAACCAUACAAGAUAGUGGACAUACCAAGAAGACAACAAGCUCCACCUCCUCCUAUAGAAGUGGACAAUAAUGAAGAGUUUGAAGUAGAAGAAGUCUUAGAUUCAAGGCGGCACCAAAAUAAAUUAGAAUAUCUUGUCCAUUGGCAUGGAUAUGGUAUUAAUGAACGCACAUGGGAGCUAAUAAAAAAUCUUACAAAUGCAGCAAAGGUGGUGGAGGCUUUUCAUCGAUGACAUCCAUUAAAAUCAAGAUGAAAACCUUCUUUAUAAAAGAAACAACAUCUAGGCAAGAUAACAUUCUACUUUCAAUCCUUGUUCGUAGCUUCUUUGUAGUUGUGACAUUCAAGACAUAGAGAACCAACAACUAGUGGAUUCGACUCAAGAGCCUUCAUUUGUUGACCUGUCGGACGAGACAUUACGAUUGUGACAACCUUCAAGAUGAUGCAAUUGAGAUAAAGAUCUUUAAGAACGACAUGUUCUUCCUCGAAUAGAUGGCGAGAUACAAUGCGUUUGGUAUCACGAUUCAGGAAGGAAUUCCCGAUAUUUGGUGAUUUUUCUAGGGAUAGGAACAACUCCUGAUGAUGUUCCAAAUGUUCUAUUUGAAGGAAUUUAUAAAGGCCUCAACAAUGAUCAAAUAAUUCGGUGGUCUUCCCGCCCUAGUAUGGGAUACUACCGAUGGUUGAGAGGUCCUAUCAAUCAUCUUCAAAGAGAACAAAGAUAUGAGUAUGUGGUGAAUAUAAUUCAUCGCAUCAUAGAUUUCCUCAACAUAUCAUGACCGCUCCUCAUGGAACUCGUCCCUAGAAGGGGGGGUAAUGUCAUGGACAUACACAUGUAAGUUAGUAAUUACAUAUACAAAUAGGUAGAAGUAAGUAAAAGUAGAUAAAAGUAAGUUAAUUCUAUAGUAUUUAAUAUGAAAGCUUUUUAGAAGCUUCAUAGACGCUGCUUUGACUUCAUAGGUGUCUUUAAUUGACUUUUUGGAUUAGAAACAUGGUCAACAAGUUGGCCAUGUGCCACACAUAUUGUUAGCUUCAAGAUCAAGCUAACUAUGUGGCCCACACGUAGAAAAACUUGCCUUGUAAGUCAAGGCAUGUAUCCUACAAAGUCAACACAUAUUGGAGGUCCUAUAGAACGUCGCCACAUAGCCCCUAGUUAGAUAGUAUAUAUAGAGACAAGAGUGAAGCUUUCUUCACUCUUGUCAACUCCUUUCUUGCUUCUAGUCUAGUUUCAAGGGUCUCUAGUUUUCUUGUCUUUUGGCAAUAGCCAUUCUAAUUUCUCUUUCAAUAUACAUACUUAUUUAUUUAUAUUUUGUUACCUUUCUUUGAGUGAAGGCUCACUUGUCUGGAUUGUUUUUUCAUCGAGUUCUUGUCCUUGAUAGGCAUUUGUUUUAGUAAAUAAAGGUCUAAUUUUAAUCCUAUCAUACAAAAAAUUGAUCCUUGGAUUUCAAUUUAAUCUAUUUUAGGAAUUUUUUAGCUCAAUUCUAUCUUCAACUUAAUCCAAGUAUCAACCAUACUAAUUAUUUAUCUCUUCUAUUCUAUUUUUAUUAAUUUAUGGCCUUUUUAAGGCAAUAAAAAAGUUUCUAUAGCUUAAAAGGUUAAAAUAUUAACCAACCUUUAAUCUAAUAGCUAUUAAAAUAAGAAAAUAAACUAAGAGACUUUUAUAAAAAGCCAUGUUUAAAUAUCUUGAAUUAUUAUUGAAUAAAGAUAAUUAAAUAUUAAUUAAAAUUUUAUUUUUAAUUAGAUUUUUAUUAUACAAUCGUGUUACAACAUAACAAUGCACUUGGAGCAUCAUAUUAGAUUUGUUGCUUCUUUUCUUUUUAAUUCAUUCUAAUUUUUGAUUUUAUAUUUUAUUUUUGAGCUUUCUAGCUACUGCCAUUAGCAAGAUGUAUCAUGUAUCUUUUUUCUAAGCAUCAUGCCUCUUAAUAUGAAUUAUAAAGACACUUAUUGAUCUAUUGAUAGAAAAUAAUUCCAAAUUUGAAUAUGCUGAUGUAAAAAAAUAAGAAUAAUAUAAAUAAAUUCUACAGUAUUUAUAAGAUAUGGAUGUUGGAUUUGAUAUACAAGAUCAUAUAUACAUAUAAGCAAAUAUUUGGUUAAAGUCAUAAGAUUCUAGAUGUUAAUCUUGUCCUACUUCAUAACAUAGAUUGAAUUGUACUUGAAGUGUGGUUUGAAUUUAAGAAUUUUAUUAUUAGGUAAGUAUUCUUAUAAUUUAGGUUAAUUAAUUAGGACUAUAUAUUAUUGAAGAAAUCUUCAUUAUUAGAAGACCAUCAAUUGCAUAAUCAAAGGAAUUCAAAUCAUAGUUUUAUAUUGCAAUAAAACAAAAACCAAACAUGAUAGAUUAUUUAUUAUAGAUAUGAUUUAUUUUCUUUUAUAUUAUUUUUGAUGGACCAAUUUCAAAUUAAAAACUUACAAAUAUAUAUAUAUAUAUAUAUAUAUAUAUAUAUAUAUGUAUUUGGAACUUCUUAAUUAAAUAAUAAAAAUAUAUAAUAUAGAUAUAAGAUAAGUAAUUAAUUUUGAUAUUUGUAAAUAAACUUUGUAAAUCCUUGAAAUAAAUAAAUAUAAUAUUCUCAUACAAAUUUUUUAUAUAUUUUAAUUCUAUUAUUAUUAUUAUUAUUUUUACUUAGAAUCAUAAUCAUAAAAUUAGAAAUAUAAAUAUUAUAUAAAAAAUAACAUCAAAAAUUUCUAUAUUAUUAACUAAUAUUUUUUUAAUAAUAAAUAAUAAAAAUUUAUAUUGAUAUAAAUUAAAAUAUGAUCUUCUAAUAUAUGAUAUAUGAUAUCUAUAUAUAUUUAUUUAAGAAUAAAUUAUUUAUAAUAUUAUUUUUGAGAUUCUAUUAUAUAUUUACUUUUUUUUUACAAAAUUCAUUAAUAUUCUAAAUGAAUGCAGUAAAGAGUUGUUGAACUCUUUAUUGCAUUUAUUUAGAAUAUUAAUAGAGAUAUUUUACAUAUUUUUUGUAUUUAACAAUAUCAUAUUUAGUGCUUUAGAGUUGGUGGAUUAUUUUUUCUUAAAUGAUAGUAAUUGUGUUAAUAUUUUUUAGAAAUUGUGAUUGAAUUUAAAGACAUAAUAUGGUAUUAUGACUAUUAGAUAUAAGAAAAAAAAAGAAGGAUAAUAUCAUAGAAGAGCUUAAUUGAAAAUGUUGUAGAAAAUUACUUCAAAAAUAUGAAUAAUAGUCAAAGAGGUUGUAAAGGUAAAUUUCAUCCUUCAACCCAAAUUAUAAGAUGGCCUCAAUUAAGAAUUUUUUGUAAUUAGUGGUGUCAAUUGGAAGUAAUGAGAAUAAGAACAAAAGAAGCAUAAUACAAAACAUGUGAAAUAAGUACAAUCAAGUAAUUGUAUAUUAUAAAACUAGUUGUAAUUUCUUUAUUAGAUUUUUACCUAGUAAAAAAUAAAAUUAAAAAAUAAAAAAUAUAUUUUUACAUAGAUAAUCUUUUUAUCUUUUAAAUGACAUAAAAAAACAUGUAAAUCCAAGGUAUUAUGAGUAAGUUAUGGUAGAUUAAAGAUAGAAGGUAAAUAUUAAAAAAGUUAAGUAAAUAUUUUUUACCUUAAAAAUAACUUGCUUAAGAGAUCAAAAGUUCAAGCUUCAUCAAGGCUCACAAGUAAUGUAUAUGGAUUUCCAAGAGAGGCCACGAGGCCUUAGUCUUAUCCUCCUAACUACCUUCAAGGUGCUACAAUCUACAUGAGACUUAUGCACUUUCCUUCUUACAACGACUACACUAGCUGCUGGUCCUCAUAUUUUCUACUAGUAAAACCAAAAAUUUUGCAUUUUUGACUUCACCAUGUUGUUUAAAAACACCCAAUUAGCCUAAGAUCCUUACGUGGAAUUUAGAUCUUGAUCCAUUUCUUCAUAAUGACUCCCUAGGUAGUAAGAUUCAUUUUUACCAAAGUCUUAAAAAUUGUUCUAAAAAUUCCUAAAAAAUUCUAAAUAAAUUCUAAAUAAAAUUUUAAAAUUCUUAUAAUAAUUCUAUAAUAUUAAUAUCAAUUUAAAGCUAUAUUUUCUUACCUUGGUGAUUUUUUAUAGUAAUAAAAUCAAUUUAAAUCAACUAUAAAUCCUAUUUCUUAAAUAACUAAUUAAAAAGACAUGAGGUUCUUUUUCAUGCUUCUUUUAACUACUAACUAAUAUUUAUAAUUUUUUAUAAGUAAUAUAUAUAGUUAAGAGGCCAAUUUAAAUAUUAAUCUUAAUAAAUAAUAUAUAAUAUUUAAUAAUAAAUAAAAAUACUAAAUCAACUAAAAUAAUUACCUCCAAAACUUAUUAAGACUCCAUUUUUAUAAUUGACAUCCUAAUUUUCUAUUUUUCUAAGAAUUUCUAUACUACUCACCAUAUAUUUUAAGUACUCUAAAUGCAUCUUUUUUUCCUAAAACAACUAGUGAGUCAAUUUCAUGACUUACAAAGAUAUCAAAAUUAAUAGAUGUUAAUGUUAUUUCUUUGCAAAAUGAACUUUUAUUUAUUUUUUAUGAUCGUAAAUAAAGCUAAAAUAAAUAAAUAAAUUAAUUGAUUAUUAAAUUUAUUUUUUUAAAAUUAAUUUUACCUUAAUAAAAAAAAGAGAUCAAUUGUGACUUAGGAUAUAAAUUAGACCCAAGAUACAAAACCGUACACUUAUGGUAAUUUUGGAGUUCUUUGGUUGAUUGAAGAAUGGAAUUUAAGAAAAAACUAGAGAAAGAUUUUUUGGUUGUUGAUUUUGAGCAAUUUGAAUUUGUAAUAACUUUAUAAAGGCUUUACAAAGUGAAGAUUGUUUUGAAAUGACAUUGAAUUGUGAGAAAUAUAAAGAUUUUAUACUUUAGAAAAUUAUAAGAGAUUGAUAAAUAAACUAAAAAUAUAAUUCUAUGAUUAGAUAAUUUUUAUUAUUUUGAAUGUAUAUUGUAAAUUUUAGUUUGACCAAAAAAAUUAUAUAAAGAUUAUUGAAUCUUUAAAUAUUGGGAUCUAAGAAAUUAGAGUUAGAGGAUCAAUGAAAGUUUUUAAGAUAUGCAACAAUUUUCUUAUUGGAUUGAAACAAAAUUUCAGUACAUUAGUAGAAGACUUGAUUUUUAACAAUUUUCCAAAGUUUGAGAGCUAUUGAACUAUGAAUAUAAAAAAUACUGGUAAUAAAAGAUUAGCAUCAAGGUUGGAGAAGGACAACAAUUGACAUCCAAGGAAAUAAUAAAAUUUAUUAUUUAGUUGGUAGGUUUGAUCUUUUUCAAAUUUUUAGCUUAUUUUUAACUAAAUAAUUAAUAGGUAUGCAAAUUUUGAGUAAAAUUCUAUGAUUAAAUUAUUACUUAUUGAGAUUUAUUUUUGCUAUAGGAUUGAUUAAAGAUUUGAUUUAAGAUUUAAAAUUUAAUUGAAUUUUAAUUAGGAUUUUAUUAGGAUUUGAUUAAAAUUUGAUUAAGGUGAAUUUAAAAUUUUCUUAGAAUUUAUUUAGGAUUUCAUUAGAAUUUAUUUAAAAUUUAUUUAAAAUUUAUUUAAAAUUUCUAUUUUUGAUAUUUUGAAUAUAUAUAUAUAUAUAUAUAUAUAUAUAUAUAUAUAUAUAUAUAUAUAUAUAUAUAUAUAUAUAAAUCUUUAUAAUUUUUUAUAUUUUUUUAUAGUUUUUUAAAGACUUCUUUUGGAUUUAGUUAAAGUUUUAUUAUGGGUGUAAAACUUUAAUUAGGAUUUAUUUAGAAUUCGAUUAAAAUUAUCUUCUAUAAGAUAGAUUUAUAAUACUUAGAUCAAAAUCCAUCUAUCUUAGAUUGAUAGAAUUAUCUAUUGUAAGACAAAUAAAGUAAGAAAAAGAAAAAAAAAUAGAAGGAGGCUAUAAUUAAUUAUUGUCUAUUGACUAAUAAAAUUAUUUAUUUUAUGAUAAUAUCAAAAAGAAGAAAAAAACAAAAGAAACUAUUAUUAAUUAUUAUCUAUUGAUUGUUGGAAUUAUUUGAUGUAAGAUAAUAUAAGGAGGAAGAGGGAAGGGAUAGAAGGGAGAUUAUUACUAAUUAUUAUCUAUUGAUAGUCAACUCCAUGAAGCAAUUGAAGUUUUAGAUUAAAUAUAAGACUUAACUAAAAUAGAAGACUUCGAUUUUUUAUUCAAAUAUUUUAGUUACAACAUAUAAGAAGGAAAGAAGGUGUGGUAUAUGAAUGCCUCAUCUUCCUACUACAAUCUUAUAUAAUAACAUCCAUGUUUUUAUUUUUUACCAUAUAGUUGUAUUACCAAAUAAUAAUGUUAGGUAGUAAUAGCCUAGCUAAAUAAGACACUUAGUCUUAGUAUGUGGGUUUUUUUUUUUUUUUUUUUUUUUUUUUUUUUUUUUUUUUUUUCGAACUCAGUUGAAUUUAUUAUUAGUUUGGAGCAUUUUGUCUAUUUUUUUUUAUACUAGAGAUUUUUAGUCUUGAACAUUAAUAGAUUAUGCCAUAGGAUUGAAUAGAAAUCUUUCAAUUAUAGUGUGGAAGCUUGUAUGUCAAUAGAAAAGUAGCUUAGGAGCUCUAAUAUGUGUUGUACAAUAGGAUGUAAGCGAAUUGGCAAUGUAAUAAAUAUUUUUACCUUGUCAUAUCUUUUAAAGUUUUGUAUAUGACUAAAGAGUUGUUUGGAACUUUGAAGUAGAUAGAAGUAGAUUAUGGAGAAGAAGUGAAGGCAAAAAAAAUUAUCUACUCAGGUAUUCAAAAGGACACUCAACAUAGCUAGUAGUUUUGAUCCUUGGAUAAUAAAGUAUAAAUAAAUGAAGAAUAGAAAGUAAAAAUGGUUUUGUGUUGUUCCAAUCAAAUGAUAGCUCUAAGUAAUAUAUAUAUCUAUUUUUUUGAGACUUAGAAUUUUGACGAUAGUCAAUUAAGAGAAUCAAGAUGUUGGAAGAAUGAAAAAAGUCAAAUAGGAAAAUUUUCUUUGGAAGUAAUAGCAAGAUAGUAUCUCCUAUCAAUAUAUCUAGCUUCUUACUACCAUGAAGAAGAAAUAGUGAAGGAAAUGUGAAGUCCCACAGUUUAAUAUAACUAACAUUUUUUGAACCAAAGACCUUCUAAUGAACUUCAAUUAAAGAAGUUCAUAGCCUAACUGUGUAUUGUAAUUUUUAGUUACAGUUUUACCUUUUUAGUUUGAUUACCUAGUCCAUGUGGAUUGAAUCUCAACUAUUACAAUUAAUUGGUCUUACUUACUAUUAAGGUGCAUCAUUACAAUGACAUUAUUAAUUGCUUACAUUGUAAAUGACUAUUAAAAAGGGUUGAUGAAGCUCAUCCUACUUAUUUGUCUCUUUAUUAUAUAUUAUUUUUGACAUAGAAUCUUUGAAUGAUAUCGUAUUCUAAAGAUGUAAAAUAUAAUGAUAAAUAUUCCUAAUGAAAAAGAAGGUACUAAAUGAGAAGAUUUGAGAUAUAACAUUCUUAUAAAAAUAGAUUAUUUUGCAAUAGUGACUUUUUUUAAGGCUUACAGAGUAUUUCACAAUUUUGUAUGGAAGAAAGCUAUUGCAAGAAUUUAUGGUUGAAAAAUGGGCAAUAAUUAAGCAAUCAUAUUUGUAAUAUUUACAUUAAAAUUAAAGAAAUCUAUAAGUUAAUUUGUACUAAAGAAUGGCAGAUACUAUUGGAAUUCAUUAAAGUAUUGAGUUUAAAGAAAGAAAAUAUAAAUUAAAUAAUUUAGGAUGCAAGAUCUUACUUCUAUCAUCACAUAAUAAUACCACUACUAAAUAACAAUAGAUAUAUAAAUGAAUAAUAUUUUAUAAACUUUGUAGCUGUGGUGAACAUCUCUUUUAUUACUUAAAAAAUAAAAAAAAUAUCAAUUUUAACAAUUCUAAUGUUAAUGACAUUCUACCACCUACACAUAAGAUAUAAAUCAUAUAUAAAGUAUGUUCUAAGUCUUUGAGUAUAUAUCAAAGCAAAUUAUGAUACAUCAUUUGCUUCUACUAUUUCAACAUCUAGUGGUCUCCAAAGGCAUUGAGUCCAUCUACCUUUAGUUGAUACAUAUAUAAAUUUUUCAUCCUUAUUUUUUUUUUUUUAUGAAUUUCUAUUGUAUUAUAAUUAUUUAUAAUAUAUAAAAAUUAACUAAAAUAUAUAAUAUAUUUAUAAAUACUGAUGUGUAUAAGAGCGAUUAGUAGAUUAAUUUAAAGAGAAUUGAUGUAAGAAAAUUUAUUUUGAUGUUUACCUAUGUUGAUUAUAGUGAGUAAAUUAUAUAGGAUUUAGAUAUUUAGUAUAAAAUUUAAGAAAAAAAUUGGGACUCAAAGAUGAAGAUUUAAACUUCUAAAAAACUUAUUUAGAUGGAUGAAAGUAUGGUAUGGAUAGAUGAAGAUAAAAGAUAAAGAUCUUCAUUCCUAUUGAUCAAAGGCCAUACCUAAUAGGCAUUUAGCAGGCUAUCUACAACCAUGAUAGAGAUUUCAAUAACUUCAGAAGAAGCAUUUGAGAAUAAAAAAUAAGGAUUGUAAGAUUUAGAAUUUAGACUAUAAUUUGUGUACAUAUGUUAGAAGAUUUGGAAUUAAGAUAAUGAAGUUAUAGCCAUUUGAAGUUAAGAUUUUUUUUUAAGACAUAUUGGUGCUCUUUUGAGGAUAUAAGGAGUUUUACAAUAGAUUUUGGAGUUUGAAAGAUGUAAUUAUAAAGAUAAUUUUAAGAUAUAUAUCUUUUGCAGAAGAAUUUUUCCAUUUGGAGUUUGUAUAAAAGAGUUAUAGAGUAUUGAAGACAGCACAUGUAAUUCAAAUGCAAUAAAUAAGUCUUUUUGUUGAUAAUAAUGGUUGGAGCCAUAUCUUGAGUUUUUUGACAAAUUUAUGCCUCAAAAUUUUCAAAAGUAUGUAUUAUUAUAUCAAAAAGCUAUAUAGUAAAAAUAUUUUAUGGUAUUUUAAUAUUUAAUUUGUGAGAUAUAAAAAAAAUUGUACACAAGUAUAUAUAAGCAAGGAUUUGAAGCUAUUCUUAGGAUUUUGGAAAUAUUUCAAGAUAGCCAAAAGUUUAGUAAUAUUUUAAGAUAAAUUCUCUCUAUAUCAAUGUUUUUUAGGUUUUAAUAUAUUUUUAUAGAUAAUUAUUUAUAAUUUAAAUUGCUUCAAUGUGUCAUUCUAAUAAUCUUUUGUUAAACACUCAAUAAAAUCAAAUAAAUAAAUUUGAUUUAGGAUUAAGAUUGAGUUACGAUUUAGAAUUUAGUUAGGAUUGAUUAGGAUUUAGAAUUAGAGUAGGAUUUAAAAUUUUAUUUAAGAUUUAUAAUUUAGGAUUUGCUUAGGAUUUAGGAUUUUUUUAGGAUUUAAGAUUUAGUCUAGAAUUUGAUUGAAGUCGAUUAAGAUUUCAAUUAAGUUUAAAUUAGGACUUACUUGAGAUUUAUUUAAAAUAUAUUUGUGAUUAUUUUAAUAUUUCUUUAGAAUUUCUUAAGGACUCUUUUAAGAUUUAUUGUGAAUUUCUUUUGAACUUCUUUAAGAUUUCUUAUUACUUCUUUUGAAUUUGAUUAAAGCUUACUUAAUAUUAUUAAGGUUUAAUUAGAGUUAUUUAAUAUUCUGUUAGAAUUAAGAUUUUAUUGUUGCAAUUUCCAUUCUAUCUUCAUGCUAGUCUAUUAGUACCAAUAUCUCCUUCUCACAUCAUUUAAUUAUUCUCAAAUUCUACAUAUAUAUAAAAAAUUAAGUUUAUUAUCUUCACACAUAAAUUUUAUUCUAAUCCAAACAGUAAAUUGUUAAAGAUCUUAGAAACCUUAAUAGCCUCUUAAAGUCCAAUUUCUAAGACCUCAACCUACUUGAAAUUCAAUAACCUUCAAUUCAACCUCAAGCUCAAACUUAUAGCAUACAUUCCAAACAAUUAUUCUCAUAAAUCUUCAAAAUUUGAACUAUAGAUCUACUACCAAAUUCACGAAAUUUUCCAAAACAUAAUACUCAUUUCAUUUCACAAAUUUUCAAAUCAUCAAAAACAAUCGUGACUUUACAAAGCUCUUAUAAAGUCAUUACCUACUCAAAUCAAUCAAAAUCAAUGCUCAAAGAAACCUUAUCAAAGUUUCUAUGAAAUUCCAUUCUUUGAUCUACAAAAAAACCCUGAAGUUACUGUAAGUACAUAGUUUUGUGCCUUGGGGUUUGAUUUUGACUAAGGUUGAUAAGUGGUCCUCUCUAGGUAACAAUUUUUAGCUUCUUGAGGUAACUUUUACUAAAAUAUACUCUUAUACAUGCCUAUAUCAUUUUAUUUUUCAAUAUACUUUUUAUUACCUUAUUUAUGGCCCUACAAAGUAAAUAGAAGCCCGUUUUAUAAAAAGGCAGCAAUAGUAUCUUUUAAUUUUACUAUCUUUUCGAAUAUUACUUAUUAUCUAAGAUAUUUGAUAUCAUAUUUUAAAAUAAGAUCUUCUAUAAUACAAUGAUUUCCUCUCUCUUUCAUUCAUUAGUCAUGUUACAUUACAACAAUGUUCAAUCCUUCUUGAAAAAGCCAGCGAUCAACAAUCCUCUAUAAUCAUCUUACAAAACAUUAGAGCAUGAUUUCUAAAUUUUUUUUAUGAAUAUACUCUUAAUUACAUUUUUUAUUGUAUUAGAUAUAAUCGACUUAAUCAUUAGAUUACUAUCACUGCUUAUUAUAUAAAUAAGUAUAAGUAUGAAAAUUCUCAAAGUAUGUAUGUUACUAGUAUCAAGAUGAACAUGAAACACUAUAAUUGUCAUAGACAUAUGCAUAUAAGCCAGUAAUUACAUGUAUAAAUAGGUAGAAGUAAGUAAAAAAUAAGUAAAAGUAAGUUAAUUCUAUAAUAUUUGCUAUGCAAGCUUUUUAGAAGCUUUAUAGAUACUUCUUUGACUUUAUAGGUGUCUUUAAUUGACUUUUUGGAUUAGAAACGUCGUCAACAAGUUGGCCAUGUGCCACACAUGUUGUUAGCUUGGAGACCAAGCUAACUACUUGGCCCACACGUAGAAAAACUUGCUUUAUAAGUCAAGGCAUGUAUACUAUAAAGUCAACACAUAUUAAAGGUCCUAUAGAACAUCACCAUGUAGCCCCUAGUUAGAUAGUAUAUAUAGAGACAAGAAUGAAGCCUUCUUCACUCUUAUCAAUUCCUUUCUUGCUUCUAGUCUAAUUUCAAGGGUCUCUAAUUUUCUUGUCUUUUGGCAAUAGCCAUUCUAGUUUCUUUUUUAAUAUACAUAUUGAAUUAUUUCUAUUUUGUCAUCUUUUUUUGAGAAAAGUCUCACUUGUUUAUUUAUUUUUAUCGAGUUCUUAUCUUUGACACAUUGAUAAGAGUACACUCACAAUAUCAGAGCUUUAUCUAAUCUUGAUUAAGCAUGGAUUAUUCUUUUCUCUUGAUAAAACAUAAGCAUAUUAGAAGUUGCAGAUUAUGCUCUUCUAAAUUGAUAUUGUCCCAAGUAUUUUUUUUUUGUUCUCAAGUCUUCUCUUCUAUUUAUCUUGAGUAAUAUUAGACAUCUUUAUUUUCUAAGUGUUAUUAUAGUAGAACUUGCUGAAAUGAAGAGUGCAAUGGCACAAAUGCAAGAGCAAUUGAAGAAGUUAAUGCUUGCGAUGCAUCAAUUCAAUUUACCACCACUAGGAGAAACAAGAUUGGCACGAUGUGAAGAUAUAGAAAUGAUUGGAGCUGCUUCAACAUCUGCACCAAAUCAUGUCCAUUUUCCUAUGGUAGAACGCCCUUCCAAUAUUAAAGAACCAAGAAUUACUCUACUUGAGAAGUUUGAUGGCACCAGAUCAAAGUUUAGAAGAUUUAUCAAUCAAGUACAACUUGUGAUUGAACUUCAACUCCAAAGCUAUCCAACUCUAGGAUCGCAAGUUAGAUUCAUUAGUACACUUCUUUCAAGUUUAAUAUUAUUAUGGUUUUCAUCUUUUUUUGAAUGACAAGAUCUAAUAUUAGAUAAUUUGAAGGCUUUUUUGGCAGAGUUUUGAUCUAUGUAUGGAAAAUAUGAUAUAAUUUAUGUUGCAACCAAUAAGAUCUAUAUUUUGCGACAAAGAAAUUGAUCAAUAAUGUUGUAUGCUUCAUAGUUUCAGCAACUUACAACUCAUAUCAAGUGCGAUGAUGCUGCACUUGUUAACCAAUUUCUCUAUGGAUUACAAUAUGAGGUAAAAAAAUUAAUGCUCAACUUACAUGAUCCUCAAACAUUGAAUCAAGCAAUUGACCUUGCUGUGAAGUGCGACAAUCAUCUUUUUAAAUUUUGAUCUGAGAACCGUACAAGUGGACUUCAACGUUACUAUAAUUCAAUGGCAACACCAACAUCUCUUCAACACAUACAUUCAGAAGUAGAAGAUAUGCAAAUUGAUUUGGUACAUUUCAAACUUCUUACUAAACAAGAAAAGACUUAUCGUUGUUAGGGAGGAUUGUGCUUAUAUUGUGGAGAACCUAAGUACACUGCUCAACAUUGCCUAAAGAAGCAAUGCAACCAUAAAAUAAUGAGUACAGUUAUCAAAGAAGAUAGCAUGUCAGAAAACAAAUUUCUUUAGCUACAAUAGGAUCCGUGUGGUUGGAACCUUAUACAAUGCCUAAUAAAGGUCUUAUUCUCUUCUUAGAAUCCUCUCUAUGUUUUAAAAUAAAUAUUAUUUUAGAACCUAAACAUCACAAAGCCUUUACCUUGUUAGAUUUAGGAGCCUCAACAUGUUUCUUAGAUGAAGAAUUUGCUAAAAGACAUAGCAUACUUUUAGUAAAGAAAACUAAAUCCGUUCAUGUAGAAGUCAUAGAUGGUCGUCCGUUGUCUUUAGGAGAUGUUACUCAUAAAAUCCUUCCUAUAGAAGUAACAACUAAUGGUCAUAGUAGCUUUAUAAUAUUUAAUAUUAUUAGAUCUCAUUCUAAUCUAGUCAUUUUAGAUUUAUCAUGGCUAAAAAAAUAUAAUCCUAAAAUAGAUUGGACUUCUCAUAGUCUUGACUUUUGUGAAAGUAUAACUAAGAGCAUAGACAAUUAAGUAGAAAGUCAUAAGUUUACUACAAUUAAACCUAUAUUUGUAGGUGCAAGAACUUUCUUGCAUGCUACAAAAGAAGGAUCACCUUGUGUCAUUUAUGCCACACUUGUUUCUACUAAUAAAAAGACUUCAAGUGGCAUUCCAAGCCAAUAUCAAGAUUUUUAAGAUAUAUUUGAGAAGAAAAAUAUAGAUACUCUUCCACAACAUUGUUCCUAUGACUGCUCAAUUGACCUUCAAGAAGGAGCACAACCGCCAUUUGGACCAGUCUAUAAUUUAUCUCAAAAUGAGUUGACUGAACCAAAGGAGUAUAUUGAAGAGAAUUUGGCCAAGAACUUCAUACGCCACUCUAAAUCUCCAAUAGGAGCUCCAAUUUUAUUUAUGAAGAAAAAAGAUGGAUCAUUGUAGAUGUCUGUCAAUUAUCGAGGACUCAAUAAAAUCACCAUCAAGAACAGGUACUCGCUACCUUUGAUAUCUCGACUCCUUGAUCAGUUGAAUCAAGCUAAGAUCUAUACAAAAAUAGAUCUACGAGGAACAUAUAAUUUAGUACGCAUCAAAAAAAGAGAUGAAUAGAAGAUUGCGUUUCAAACAAGGUAUGGAUAUUUUGAAUACAAUGUCAUGCCUUUUGGACUUACAAAUACACCAGCAGCAUUCCAAUAUCUAAUGAAUGAUGUCUUUUGAGAGUUUUUAGAUGAUUUUAUUAUUUGUUACCUAGACGACAUCUUAAUCUAUUCUAAAAACACAGAAGAAUAUGAACUUCAUAUUUGUCACGUAUUACAAAAACUAAGAGAUGCGGGACUCUAUGCCAACAUAGAAAAGUGUAUAUUUCACACUACUCAAGUUGAAUUCUUAGGAUACAUCAUUUCAAAUGAUGCACUUAUAAUGGAUCCUAAGAAAGUUCAAAUUAUUAUAGAUUGGAAGAUCCCAAAAAUGGUAAGAGAUGUCCAAUGCUUUUUGGGAUUUGUCAACUACUAUCGGAUCUUCAUCAAAGACUUCUCUCAAGUUGCAGCUCUACUUAUACGUUUGACUUGUAAAGACAAACUUCAAUAGAAUCAAGAAGCAAAAGUAGGAUUUGAAGCUUUAAAGACAACCUUUGUUUCUGUACCAAUCUUGUAUCGCGAUAAUUUUUCUAAGCAAUUUUUUAUAGAAUCAAACGCAUCAAAUUUUGCUUUGGGUGUCAUAUUGUCACAAAUGGGAACAGAUGAUAAAUCUCAUCAAACAGCUUUUCAUUCCAAAAAAAUUUCAGCAACCAAAAUCAACCAUGAGAUCCACGACAAAGAACUUCUUUCAAUUGUGGAUUUGUUUCAAGAAUGGUGCCAUUAUCUAGAAGGUGCUUCUAGCCUAGUCACCAUAUAUACACAUUACAAGAAUCUUGAAUAUUUUAUAUUAGCACGUAUUUUGAAUUAUUGCCAAGCCUGUUGGAAUAUGUCUUUGUUAAGAUUCAAAUUCAAGAUCACUUAUCGACCAUGAAAACAACAAGGUUUAUCAGAUGCACUCUCUAGACGAUCUUACUUUAUAUCAAAGGAAAGAGAUGCUGCUUUCGAUCAACAAUAGACAAUUCUCUUGAAGCUAGAGCAUCUUCAUCUUUGAGUAAUGAAAUCAACACUAACCAUUGAUUCAACUUUCAUUAAGCAAGUUCAGUCAAAUAUGUCUUCUGAUCGUCUUAUUUGUGAUAUUAAGAAAAACCCUUCAAAGUCUCAUAAUACUUCCAAGUUUGAAUUCAAGAAUAAUCUACUAUAUUUUGAGGGACCCCUAUAUGUUCAAAAAGGUAAAGCUCGAUUAUGUGUUAUUCAAGCUUGUCAUGACUUUCCAGUAGCAUGACAUUUUAGAUACAAUAAAACUUUGGAACUAAUAUUCAAGGAUUUUUGGUGGCCUCAAAUGUGAAAAGUAGUCAAAGAUUUUGUAAAAUCUUGUGAUGUUUGCUCAAGAUCAAAAACUCCUCGUCAUUGACCUUACAAACUUCUUCAACCAUUACCCAUUCUAGAACAACCAUAGUCUUCUAUUUCUAUAGAUUUCAUGAUAGAUCUUUCAAUCUCAAGUUCUUAUGACUCUAUAUUCGUGAUAUUAGAUCAUUUUACCAAGAUGGAAUAUUUUGUACCAUGUACAAAAUCCAUCACAUGUGAAGAAAUAGCUAAGCUCUUUCUUGACAAUAUCUAUCGCUAUCAUGGAUUACCCAAGGAUAUUAUAUCAGAUAUGGAAACUCAAUUUGUAUCAAGAUUUUGGCAGACUCUUUUCAAGAUUCUAAAAGUGGAUAUAAAACUAUUUUCGACAUUCCAUCCUCAAACUGAUGGACAAACAGAGUGUGUUAAUUAAGUUUUGGAGCAGUAUUUAAGAUGUACCAUCAAUUACCAUCAAGAUGAUUGGACAACUUUUUUGCCAAUGGCAGAGUUUGCUUAUAAUAAUACACUACAUUCUUCUACAAAAUAAACACCUUUCUUUGUCAAUUAUGGUUAUCAUCCACGACUUGAUACUUUUGACUUUUCAAAAGUUGAUAAUCUUGUAGCAAAAGAUUUGGUAAUUCAUUUAUCAGAGCUACAUGCAACAAUGAAGGCAUAGUUAAAAGAAGCUCAAGAACAACAAAAAGUCAAUGCAGAUGUCUAUCCAAAGAAACAACCACCAUUCCAUAUGAAAGACAAGGUAUGGUUACUUUGUCAUAAUAUCAAGACCAUUCAUCCUUGUGACAAGUUGGAUUGUCGAAGGCUUUGACCAUUUUCUAUUUUUGUAUAAAUCAAUCUAGUUGCAUAUCAUUUAUACCUGUCGGAGUCAAUGAAAAUCCAUCCAAUAUUCCACGUAUCUCUUCUUGAACCAUACAAGACAGUGAACAUACCAAGAAGAAAAUAAGCUCCACCUCCUCUUAUUGAAGUGGAGAAUAAUGAAGAGUUCGAAGUAGAAGAAGUCUUAGAUUUAAGGCGGCGUCAAAAUAAAUUGAAAUAUCUUAUCCAUUGGCACGGAUAUGAUAUUAGUGAAUGCACAUGGGAGCCAGUAAAGAAUCUUACAAAUGUAGUAAAGACAGUGGAGGCUUUUCACUGAUGACAUCCAUCAAAAUCAAGAUGAAAACCUUCUUUAUGAAAGAAACAAAAUCUAAGCAAGAUAACAUUCUACUUUCAAUCUUUAUUUGUAGCUUCUUUGUAGUUGUGACAUUGAUGAGAUGGAGAACUAAUAACUAGCAGAUUCGACUAAAGAGCCUUCAUUUGCUAACAUUACGAUUGUCACAACCUUCAAGAUGACACAAUCAAGAUGAAGAUCUUUAAGAAUAAUAUAUUCUUCCUUGAAUGAAUGGUGAAAUACAACGCAUUUGGUAUCACGAUCUUGGAAGGGACUUCCAAUGUUUUGUGAUUUUACUAGAGGUAGGAGCAGCUCUUGACGGUAUCCCAAAUGUUUUAUUUGAAGGAAGUUAUGAAGGCCUCAAUAACAAUUAAAUAACUAGGUGGUCUUCCUGCCUCGGUAUGCGAGACUAUCAAUGGUUGAGAGGCCCUAUCAAUCAUCUUUGAAGAGAACAAUGAUCAGAGUAUGUGGCAAAUACAAUUCGUCGCAUCAUAGAUUUUCUUAACAUAUGAUGAUCACUCCUCGUGGAACUCAUCCAUAGAAGGGAAGGUAAUGUCAUAGACAUACACAUGUAAGCCAGUAAUUACAUAUAUAAAUAGGUAGAAGUAAGUAAAAAAUAAAUAAAAGUAAGUUAAUUCUAUAAUAUUUGCUAUGGAAGCUUCCUAGAAGUUAUAUAGAUGUUGCUUUGACUUUGUAAGUGUCUUUAAUUGACUUUUUGGAUUAGAAACGUAGUUAAUAAGUUAGCCAUGUGCCACACGUAUUGUUAGCUUGAAGACCAAACUAACUAUGUGGUCCACACGUAGAAAAACUUGUCUUAUAAGUCAAGGCAUGUAUCCUACAAAGUCAACACAUAUUGGAGGUCCUAUAGAGCAUCGCCACAUAGUCCCUAGUUAGUUAGUAUAUAUAGAGACAAGAGUGAAGCCUUCUUCACUCUUAUCAACUCCUUUCUUACUUCUAGUUUAGUUUCAAGGAUCUCUAAUUUUCUUGUCUUUUGACAAUAGCCAUUAUACUUUCUUUCUUAAUAUACAUAUUGAAUUAUUUCUAUUUUGUCAUCUUUCUUUGAGAGAAGUCUCACUUGUUUAUUUCUUUUUAUCAAGUUCUUAUCCUUCACAAUAAUAUAGUCAUAUAAUGUUGAUAUUGUAGAAAUAUUUCUCUACAAUAUUUCUAAAAAGAAUAUAAAAAAUUAUCAAAAAUUAUCAAAAGUUACUCCUAUAACUGAAAGACAAAUGAAAGGUGAUGAUCUUAGAUUAAAUAAGAAAUCAAGUAAUAUACUUGAGAUACCGCCAUACUUGAUAUUAUUCAAUUAAUAAAUUUUAUGCUUACUAUUGAGUCUGCUUCAUAGAAACCUAUUGAAGGUUAUAUGUACAUAAAUUCUAUGGUACAUUAAAAGGAGAAAAUGAACCUACUAAGUGCAUCUUCAAUUCUACUUCAAGGCAUGAAGAGUUGAAUUCUACAAAUUUAGAAGUCAAGGUGCUUACAAACAAAGCCACAAUCUUAGAAUUUAGAGGAAAUUCAGCUCUUGCAUCAAGUGUACUUAAGAGAUAUAACCAACCUACAUACUAUCUUUUAUAUCUCCUUGAAAAAGGCUUGAAUACACAAACAAUAACAACAAAAUUAUAAAAAUGGGCUCAAUAUAAAGAAUAGGAUUGAAUAGAUUGGAAUGGGGUUUAAAAGGUCAAAACAAGAUAGAAGAUGAAAACAUGGAAAAUUAAGAUGUAUGACAAGAAGGUGCAAUAAUGUUCAGGAUUUAUUGAUCUAGUAAGAAUCUAGAUCACUUUAACAUUGUCCUAUACAUACAUACAAAUAUAUAAAUAAAAAAAUUAUUCACUCUAUAUAAUAUCUAUUAUCUCAAAAAUUAAACAUCAUAUACAUAUAUAUAUAUAUAUAUAUAUAAUUUAUUUAAAAUAUAUAUUAACUUCUAAGAUUAUUUUUUGUAAUAUGAUUCUUUUAAUUAAAUAUAUAUUUUAAUUUUUUAUCAAAAUCUACUUGUAACUUAGGAUCCCACCUUUCUCUAAUUCUAUUGUAAACCAAUCUAAAAAAUUACAAAUUGUUUUUUAAUUCUAAGCUAAAUUCUCACCUUAAACAAGUCAAUAUCUUUGUAGAUUCUAAAGUCCCAGUAAAUACUGAAUAUUUAACAAAUACUAAAUCCUAAACAAAUUCCAAUUUCUUUUCAAACUUCAUUAGUAGUUAAUUUUGAAUCCUAACUUCUAAAAAGCGUACAUCUAAAACAGCCUCAUAUUCCAAGUUUAUGCUAAGGCUAAACAAAUUUAAACAAUGUAGCAAACAUACAAAAACAGUGCCGACAACGUGAGAGUUCUCACCAAAGCUGGAUUUAAAAUCUUCUAUGAAAUCGAAUUCAAUUGCAGGCAAUCCCGUUAAUGAUACUCAAGAUUUCAUCAUAAGCCAUUCAUGACGAGUCACGCCAUAAAAUUACAACACUAUGGCUUGGCUACGAUUAGCUUUCCCAAGGUUGGAAAAUCGUCUCCACAGCAGGGCUAGCAUCUAUGUUUGUAUAAGGAAGGCAAAUAUACAUAAAAUUAUUCUACCACGGUAAUCAGUUGCAACAAAAUGCGUUGCUACACCUAUGUGUGGAGGCGGCGCAGACCUUGCUCUCCUGCGGUUAUGGACAGAGGUGAGGCACUAAGAUAAAGAAUCACCUCUCCAGAUGAAGGACCUUUCCUUGUUUGACGGCUUGGGAUGACACCCACACUUUAGCGCGAUGUAUGAGCGAGAACCCUGUGCACAGAUCAAAGCAUCGUUUAGAAAACAGCAUAUUGCUGGAUGUGUAGUGAUACGUUUCACAAGGCUGGCCUAACCUGACUACUCAGCGACGCAAUUCAAACUACGAGAAUUCAGGGUGGCUGACGUUGGCAAGAAAUACUGCCUAAGCUCGGACUGUAAUGGCGAUAUACCCGCACCGAAAAAACACAUGCUCAAAACGAAGAAACACGGAGAAUACCUGGACUUUUUCGUGACAGACUGCGGUUGGGAGUGGGUGUACUCGACAUGUUCCGCAGGAACGAUGCGGCGACGGGCACGCAUGGUACCUGGAUGUUUUCCUUGACAGAGUUAUCAACAGAACUGCCGUACAUGGAACAGGCAAAAGGUCUGCUAGGUUUAUGUCCGGGAAUCUCCGCCUUAGCAGAGGCGUUGGCAUGAGAGUGAGAUGCUCUGCAUAGAAAGUCUUCUGCUAGUUUGUUAGACCUAUCCAUCACAACAGGCCUAUUCGAGACGCUGGUAUUUACAUCCAAUGGCAUCAACUUCCUUGAGGGUUGGUCCGAAAGCACAACCGGAGUGGCUGGAAGAUGAGAUGGAGACUUUAUUUGGAGGAGGUCAAGCAUAGUCACUGUGGAACUCUUCUGGGGUCCACCCACGGACGCCAUCUCGACGUGUCGUACGGCCCGGGUCAUGGCAGCCUUUCGUGCCUUGUUUUCUCGUUUAAUCGCUCUAGUGAGAACGAGAGAUUUAGAUGCAACCUUGGUAGGACUUUCUCUUUUGAAGGUAGUUUUGGAGAUGGUUUGCAAAAGGGGGUUUGCUGAUGUCGUGAUGCGAAGUUUCGUUAACUCUCUUUCAGCAAGUUCAGGAGAAUUUGGAAAAGGAUGAGUAAGACAGCUCUUUCGCCUCCCUAUUGUAGAAACAAUCUUCGCAGGUGUGAGCCUGUCCGCAGAAAUUCUAGGAGGGGAAAGUGAAUUCAGAGUAUUUGAAAACAGCAUUCCCUCAGUGUGUGUCAGCAUCCAGAGUUUCAUAGAGCCCCUGAUUUCAGUCACAGUCAUUGAGCGCCUAGGGCCUAGAAGCUCGUCGUCUGCAUCAUUUGCAGAUUCCCUGAAACUUUUACAUGGCGAGCUGAAAAGUCUUCCUCGCUUUGUUUCAGGGCUCUCUGCAUUCAAACGCAGUGGUCGUGAAACGAGAGGUUUCGGUGAUGAAGAAUUGCUCCGGCUACAACUUUUCACUCUCCGUCCGUGUGAAGAAGCACGACCGCAAUUACGCUUGUUAUUAUCCUUGCUCGGAGGGUCUCUUCCGCGAUGUAACUUUGCGGGUGGAAACAGUUUGACAGUGACAUCAGAAGGAAAACCUCCUACCUUGAACCCACUUAAGGGUCGUAAUGAGGAAGAUUUGGCGCGCAUGGUCUUCUGCACUUGAGCCUUGGUUGGAAACGCAAUAUCUCUUCCCUUGAUAUCUUUGCCAAACCGCUUCUCCAGCUCUGGACUCUCAUCAGCAGGUUCCUGGGCCUUCCGAAGCCCGUCUUGUCUCAUUUCUUCCGCACAGAACUUGGCAAAUUGCUCUGUAAAUUGGCUAGCCAUUAGUAUCUCUGACAUAACAUCGAGUGCCUGGUCAGCAGGUGAUGACCACUGCUUCCUCUCAGCUGAAGACGAAAUGGCUGAAGUUGAUGAGUUAAAAGUACUCAUUAUCCUAGGACGGGACACUCGAAAUGAGGCAAAAGAGAUAGUGACGCUAAGAGAACUAGUGUAUACGAAGUACUAACGGUAGUCAGCAGGACGGAGACUCGCAUUAUCGCUGGCUAUUAUUAACUGCAUCAACGCCAUGGGCUCGACCGGAAACUUACUAAAGGGUUGUCAGACUGUUUCGACAAUAAGGUUCAUAAAAAUUAUUAGAAUAAAAAGGAAAUAUAAUUAAAUAUUAAAGCUGGAAGAGGAAGUAAACGGCAAAACCUGUCGCUUCCGGUUGUAUUUUCGACUGGACUCUGCUAUCAGCCUUGUGAUCAUUCAGAGAUAUCCAACGGUGGUUAUCUGAACCAAAAUCAUACAGACAUAUUGAUGAUUUAGAUACAAUCAAGAUGUCAAUCCUAAAACAAUAACAGAAUCGUCAGCAGAAGAGUUCCGCAGGGUGGUAUGUGGUGACCUUUCUGCAAAUGAUGUUGCUAGCAACAAUCUAAGUUGCAUCACUUACUAGUGUCCACCAACGCUACAAUCCAAGUCGUCAUAAGAUGAAGUAGAAAACUGAAGGCAUAAUACAAUUACAAUGCAAAUUACCAUGACAUCCAACUGGCCCAGCGUUCUUUUCUCCAAAGCGAUUCGCUCCGGAGAUCCAAGUGUGUUUCGAAUUUACCGGACUCGAGUGUACCCUGGAAAUAGUAGUUUGGAAUUUUUGAAGACGAGCAACAACCUGAUCAACCUGUACCCAAGCAAUCCUAAAUUGGCUAAAUUUCACUUCUGCAGUUGUUAUCAUUUAGACUGUGUCAAAGAUCUAUGUAAUAAUCUGUGUCUCGUGGAGAGAGACCUGUCGCAAUCGCAAGAACAAGCUACCUCCAGGCACAAAGUUGCGAUAUCUACUAUAUUGUCAUAAUGCUUUAGUCUCACUGCCAAUCGACAGUCCUUUACCAGAAAGUUCUUAAGUGGAGUGUUCGCUCUUCAAAGCCAAAAGUCACCAUUGAACAUUGCAGAAUCCUCUCCUUUUCUCUUAGUAUUAAACUUGCUGACUUGCAAUGGUGAUCGUGUACACUUGAAAUAACAGUCACUAUUCUUUCACAAGAAAAUGGCAGUUUAACUUCACAGGUGCGUUCAAAGGAGAGGCCUCAAAAGAUAACUACACUCAAAGAAUGCUCGAAGUUUAAUUUGUCAAACUUCAAGAGCAGCAUUUCAGUACGAACAAUAGACCAUACCUUUAGAACUGCUUCCAUAAGUACAGGCGACGGUUGCAAGGCCAAGUUCGUCCUCGGUGGCGAAUCCACUUGCGCCAUUGUUUGAUCCUCAACUCAAACUAUCAUUUCCGGAAAUAAACGCAGUUCCUCACAGAAUGCUGGCCACCGAAAUCCGCGUUUACGAAUGCUGAAAAUUCCUAGCAAUAAUCAAAAACAUCGAGGCUCUCUUGCGCAGCAAUGGAUUCAUACUUACGUUGACGAUCGAGCCAACACAUUCAAAACAUGCAGAGUAGGAACUGGAUGUGCCCGAAUGUACGAACUUCUACUUAGCGGGCUGGUCAUCUCACAUAUACUUCACACUUCUAAAUCCCGAUGACUCACCAAACUCCGACCAAAUUUCAUCAAUGCUCCUCGCACAGACCAGACCGUAGGGAGAGAUUUAAACGCGCACGAGCAAUCUCCAGCUCUAACCUCGAGAACUGCUCAUGCUGCCGAUGGAGCCGAUAGACACGAUUGAUUUUCUGCACAGAACAUGACGACGGGUGGAUCCGCGGCCGAUCCUCGCAGCUAGCUAACAGCAACUAUCGCCAACGUAUACCAUAUCGGUGUCCGCUCACAACGGAUCGAUCGACAGUGGCUGCGCAGGGUGUGCAGUCAGUCUCUGGCACUGGAAACAGAGACAAAGAAAUGAUGAUGGUGAAGCAAUCCUGCAUGGUAUGAAAAGAAAUCGUCGCUGGGCUGCGAGACGUUGGCAACGGGAACGACGAGUAAUAAAGUCCCGAGACAAAUCGAAAAGGCAACGAGUGCGUAUUUCAACCGCAAUCAGUCUUCGGUGGGGUUGGACUUGAAUGAUGACCGAUAUGGAUGAAUGUACAGGAUGAGAAACACCAUCGGCGGUAUUCAGUUCACACAAAUAUGCUUCAUGUGGCAAUUUUAUUCGUAAUGUAGACUAUGAUGUGGGUACACCUUCAAAAUGGUCAUUCUAUAUAUAUAUAUAUAUAGAUAGAUAUGAGAUAUUGUUAAUUCGUAUAUUUAUUCAAAACAUUGACUUGGUAUUUAUGUUUUAAUUCUGAAAACAAACUUACGGCAUAGUUGGCUUUUUAUUUUAUUUUUUAUUAAAUAAUUUCUAACAAAAACUAAUGGUAUUCAAACUAAAUAAGAUUGAUUUUUUCUUCAUUUGAAUGAGUUUUUGGAUUUAAAAAGAAAUAACAUAAUCAAUUUCUACAACUUUCAUAUUUUAUUCUUUAUGUCAUUAUUGUUAGAAAAUUUAUUAUUUUUAUAUGAUGGUGUUUUUAAGAUGAUAACCCGUUCUAAGAUACUAAUGUAAAGGAAAGAAAACAGAAAAAGAAAAAGAAAAACUGUAUCAUACUUAGUCACAAACAUCAUUUUUUUGCAUAUUAAAGGCCAUAUAUAAAACAUAGCAUGCAUCAUUGAUUGCAGUAAAUUAAUAUACUUAUAUAAUACAUUAAAUCAAUUCUAGUUCAAAACUAUGUUCAUUUAUUCAUUCAUUUAAUUAACUAUCUUGAUGGAACAUGAUCCUCCACUCCAUCCCAAAUUGUUGGGCAGUCGAGAGGACGCACAUUCUAUAUUGUUGUAGGUCUUCAUAGACUGAAGAUAUGUGGUUUAUUAGGAAGUCAUUCAUGAUGCAGUAGAUCGAAAAGAUCGACUGCUCACGGAAACCAAGCACUAGCAAUAACUUCUGCCUAUUCGUCUCUGUGCACACAAAUCAGGCAUGUUAUCAAGUUUUUGAGAUAUCAUCCACUUUGUAGCAGUGCAGUGUGUCCAAGGUAUCAAGGUAUGAAGCGCUGACAUGAAACCAGAUUAUCCCAUCAGUGAUUAAUCAUAGGAUUGCUCGCACUGUAAUGUGGAGAGCACGAUCAGCAAACCAAUCAUACAUGUUGGGCAGCUCUCUCUCCACGCGCUCCCUAAAUCUAGCAAUCGCUCUAGGAAUGCUGGUUAGGAAGUGAACAAGUGUUACACCGGCCUUGAACCCUCUGUAAUGAGCUGACCGGUUGCCUGUUAAAAAGAGGAGAGAACUUCAGACAGAAGUAGAAGUUGUCGCCUAUUGAGGACACUCAGAUUUAUUAAUCUGGACUUACAAAAAUAAAAGAUUGAGCCAAGCACAUAGGGCGAAGUAAUGAAUAUCAUGUCUAAUAAUUUCUACCCGCAAUUUCUAAACAGAGCAAUGAUUGUGCUUUAAUUUCUGAACAGAACCCUUCCAGAUUCGUGGGUGGAAACAUACCAUCUUUAGAGGCAUUGAAAUAGUAAUUGUCGAGAUUUUCUCGACGAAAUUCAUCCAGAACAGAUCGUACACUGGCGCGAUGUUCGCUGUUGGGUGGCCUCAAAUCAGCUGGAAGAGCGAGAGUGACAUCUGUUGUCAUUAGUGUUUGUUCAAGGCAGCAAUUUGAAAAGAGAACAAUUGAGAGUUUGUCCACUUCAACCGGUGGAGUCGUAGAGAUUAGGUACGAGUUCUCUUCACUGCAAGAUCCAUCAACCACUAAAUUCAGAAGUUCAAUCAACGUCCUUUCCUAAACGGAGUAAUUUACGUAAAAGUACAACUGACUGUGGAUGUAUUUUGGCGUAGACAAAGUUUACAAAACUUGUCACGCAUAGCCACAUGUCUUCUAAAUCACCUCAAGCACCACUCAACUUUCAAAUACGCGAGACUCUAUUGCGGGGAUAGCGAACAAGGAUUGGGUAAAGAAACAAGACAAUCCACCAAACCGAGAAGCCCCGAGGAUUUCCAUUCUUGAUAAUUUAUGGGGGAAUUGAAAGCUACCUGCAGAUGUCACGCAGCCUUUCGAGAUCUAAUCUACUAAGACGCUUAUUAUCGCGAAGGCAUCCAAUGCUGACUUUGGGCCACUUAGAUCCAGGGAAUUCCUUCAUUACACCAGGGUAAAACUCUUCGACUUGGGUUUUAAGCUGAUCAAGCAUUUCAAGGACGAUAAUGUCAAACACACAUUCGAAACCUCACAUUGAAAGCCCUGCUUCUGCGUAACAGACACGAAACUAAACACAAAUCACGCACAGGAAAUGCUUCAAUACCAAUACACUAUGAGAUCAGCUUAAAAAUUCACAAGAACUUGCGAAUACGAAAAGAAAUGGACUUUGAAAGCACAUAACGACCAAAACCAGAAGGACAUUGAGAUUCGUUUUCAAAGGACCAACUCCUUACCUCUAAAAGAGCAUCUGGGAAUCCAGUAAAUGCAAGUGUGAGCACUCCUUGCCAGCUCACAAAGAACUCAGCUACCUCAAACCUGCAUGCCAGAGUACUACCAAUCAUACAUGCCAAGCCACCAGAGGUAUGGAUUGAUGGCAUUGCCAGAUCAAUCAUUGUUUGCAUUAUGGCCUCGUCAACACAAGCCCCAACCUGCAAAUCUCUCCUGCUCUUGGUUUUAAGAAAAGCUCAUGUACAGGCGAACAGUAUAAUGCAAGUCAAACGCCUGUCCACACGUCCAUAAAACGAAAUGCAAACACCAACAUCAGCAGAUACUACAGUAACAUUAUAAAAUGAAAGAUGGAAAAAUGAAAAAUGAAACUUCUAUACCUGCACUGUUCUUUAACAAAGCUCGGUGACACGUGCGUCAUGUUAAUUUAGUUCAAGUAUGCUCAAAAGCCAUCUCAAGGGAUCAAGCACUCCAGCAAUAAUCGACUCUUAAACAUAUAUAAAAUCGUGAUUCAUCACAAUGUCAUGUUGUGCACCAUUGUAUAACAUCAAAACCAUUAAUCAGACCCAUUUACGGGAAUUGCAACCCAAAUUACCACUUCGUCGUACGCAGAGACGCAUGAUGUUCGACAGCCUUCAAUUCCAAUUAGCAAAGACCAUGUAAACUUAUCAUUGGUGGCAUUGUCUACUUAAUCUACUAAUUCCAAUAAUGCUACUACCUCGGAAAAAGGAAUCUGUAAACCCAACUUAAAGAGCGCUCAACAGUCAUGGACGAACUCAAAACCUCGAAACUCAAGUAAAUGAGUAAGCUAUCUCACACUCCGGCAAGGGUGUCAACCCUCCGAUCGGUGUCAAACCGUCGAUUGCUGGGUAGGGCAGGCAUGAGAGCAGAAGCAAGAGCGCAUUGAAUCGUCUAAAAUCCUUAAAACAAAUUACGGAGCCGAGACACUAAUUACAGCUGAAGAACUCAAGCCGUCCUGCUUGCAAAUGCGUACCAGCAAAACUACCUCGGGGUUCCAGCUCGCGCAAUCUGCAGCAACUCAAUCUCUCGAUCUGCUGACGAUGCAAUCAAUCGUCAUGAAACCCUAAUUGGUCGUGUGCACACGGAAUCGGGCGAGGAAACCAAGGUGAGUGCGACUUCAAGCCUCAUAUACUCGGCGAAUGACCAUCACAACUUGAUAUCUACAGAUACGAGACAGUCUGGACAUCAGCAGUGGACACUCGGACGUAUGAUUUGACCUUUGAUAUGUCUUACUUAUGAGGAAAAUUUAAUUUAUUUAAAAGAAUGAGCAGCUAUUUUAAAUAUACUUUCUUGCAAUGUGCUAUGAAGUAUAUUAUUAUCUUACUACAUACUUCAUAUAAAAUUUAUGAAAAUUAACAUGGAAAAAGAAAUUAGAAUCAGUGCUCAUUAAAGUCAUUUUUCAAAUAUUUAAAAAUUUUGAAUUUUUGUCCAAGGUUCUAUAUUUAUAAUAAUAUGAUGGUUAUUUUUUAAAAUACCUAACUAUGCAAAGAUUUCCAAAAAAUCACUAUUUUUUUUCAUACUUAAUUUUUCUAAUACUCAUGACAAAUUAAAUUCUAAUUUUCUAUUUCAAUUUGAAGUAAAAUUUGAAAUUUUCAAUUUUUUAAUAAUCAAAUUUAUUUAAGAGACUAAUCAUGUUUUUGGAAUAUAUAUUUUUAAUAAGAAAACUAUUUUUUGUUAAAUAUGGCAUAAAAAAAUUUAUAGUAUUAUUAUUUAUUUAUUAUAGUUGAAAAAAUGUUGAAUGUGACUAUCUAAGAAGAUGUUAAGAAAAAAUAAAACUAAGUAGCGUAAAUAUUCUUUAAAUUUUAAAUCUUCCAGUAAUAUGUCAAUAUGCAAAAAAUUGUUUUGGAUUAUUUUAACAAACUCAAGAUAUCAAUAAUAAUAAUAAUAAGAUAUAGAAUUCAGUGUAAUUUAGAGUGUUGAUGCUUUACAAAAUUUCAUUUUGCUAGAGGAUUUAUAAUUAUUAAAGGUGAACUUCUUUCUUUCAGAAUUUCUUUAUGGUUAUAUAAACAAUCCCUAACAAAGAAACUUGUAAAAAUACAAUAUUGGUAUUAAAAAAUCUGUAAAAAGCGUAAAUAUUUAAUAAACUUUAAAAUCUCUUGAUCUAUAUGUUAUGAAUCUAAAAAUAAAUAAAUAAAUAAUAAUAAAUUACAGAUCCUAAAGAAGUAAUAAAGAAUCUACUUAAUAAAAAGGUUGUAAAUACUUUCUUAAUGAACUUAUUAUCCAAUAAAAUUUAAGAUAUAUAAUAAUUCUAUCUUAAUAUACUUCUUAGGAUAAAGUGAUAGUUAGAUUUUGCAUGCUCAAUAGUAUCCAAUUAUAUAUAGAGUAAUUCGUCCAAAAUUGAAAUAAAGUAGGUAAAUUUUGGAUUUCCAUUGUAUUAUUUAUUUAUUUAAAUUCUUCCAAAUUAUUUUUUGAAGUUUGAAACAAAUCACCCUUUCCUUAGGAAUAGAUACAUUGACUUGGAUGUAAGGAUGUAUUGCAUUUUAAGGAACUCUUUAAAAUCAAAAAUUUGUUCAAUGGCUCUAAUCAUCUACAAUCUUGAAUGAACCUAAGCAACACUAUAAAUUUCUUCUCAAUAUAAAUAUUCAUAGAAUCCCUUAUUUAUUUUCUUCAAAGACAAUAACAUAAUAUGUUAAGAGAAAAAAAAAUCUUUCUUUCUAAAAGUAGGGAUUGAAUUGGAUGUUUUACAACAUAAAAAAUAAUUUAUUACUCAAUUACUCAUAGUGGUCUUCUAAUUUAUUACUCAAUAUGUAGGUGUUGCAAAACAUACUUGGUUUGCCUUGCUUAGAUCAAUUGAGAUCAAACUAUAGUAGAUUAGUGUGCAAUUAAGGAGGCUAUAUAAUAACAAAAACCUUUCUACCAACCAAGAUAAUCCUCAUUUUAAUAACUCAAAUAAUAAUAGGAAAAUAUUUUUGAUAAUUAUUUAAGUGGUGCCAAAAAUAAAGAAAGAAAGAAAGAAAAAGAAUAGAAAAAAGUGAAAAUAGUUUAGCUCCAAAUAAAAAUAUUCAUAGCUUCCUUUGAAUGCCACAAAAACAAGAAGCUAUCUUGAAUAAGUUUGGAGAGUGUAUACAAGCUUAAAGGAUAUGACAUUGGGCUAUUUCGUUUAUAUAUUUAUAUAUAAGUAUUUGGAAAUCUAUUAUUAGAAAAUGGGCACAAAUACUUCAUGUUGGAAACAAAAUAUUUUUGAUAAGGCAUUUAUACCUGGAUUUGAGAAAGUUUACCCCGAAUGGUCUUCACUACCAGAAAGACUUUCUGAUACUCAAUAAAAUAUCAAAUGGUGUAAAAUCACCCUGGACUCCGAUAGCGGACUGCUACCCAGCAGGCUCUUACAGCCUUCUGAUUUGCACCUUGUGAAUGGGAAUCGGGAGACCGAAUGGACCAAUGCGAAAGUGUAAAUCGAAGAGAUAUUUGAGUGGUGUAUAAUUCGAGGCCGCCAGCGACGUCUGAUGUCGGAAAUUGCAUACAAAUUUGUUCCUGAAAUAGGAAAUAACACUACUGGGAAAAGUUUGAGGGGACGAAUCAGUCGACGGAUAAGGAUAGGCGAAGAAAUCUGCCACAUGUGGGUAAAAAUUGAUGUCUUAAGGAGGCCACAAGUAAUGACUGGCGUUGUCAGGUGAAGCAGGACUCUUGUCCUGAUCGGACUGGCUGGAGAUGACGGUCACUUUUGUGGACGGAGGUACGAGAAGGUGGUGGGGUGAAGAUUGGAUGGUUUCCAAAUUUGUUGUCUUCUUUGGGGGUUUGCACAAUCUAAGUGCUAAUUAAUCGUGCUGCUCGCUGACAUGGACGAUGUGGUAUGUGGAUAAGUAAGUAAGUUACUAUGUUUAGAAUGUUUUUGUAAAUUGUGGAAAGGUGUACGGCAUUAAGAGAUAAUUCACAUAUUAGAAAGAUUGUGUUGACUACUUCACGUUGUUUGUAGUAGUGGUUGUGAUCCGAAAAAACAUUUACGAAGUGGUUGAUUGCGCUGACAGUAUGCAAAAUGCUACAGGAUGAAUUUAUAGGAAUUAACAUAGCGGAGUGGAAUUGUCUGCUUUUCCCACGAAACGGAAGGGAACAUUCAAUAGCGUAAUAGAUACGAGAAAAAAAAAUACAAAUUUCAUGUUAAAAUCAUUACUUGAAAAUAACAAACUACGCCUUCAAGUGCCUAGCGUAUAAUAUAUCUCUGCCAGUGCAUCAUGCUCACCUAUGCCUUGGGCUACUUCACAACAGUUCGAUUUGAUAUGGGAUGGACAUUUCCACUGCAGAGUGAAGACUCCAAACCAGAUAUGAACUCAGUCGAAAGAAAAAGGAAGAGCUACAUAGAAAUAAAUCACUCCACGUCUGAUGGGAUCAAUGCACAUCUAGGGCAAAACUACAAAAGCCCAGGAGUUGCAUUCGAAAUCUAAAGGUCACAGUAGGCAUGAGAAACGGGCCCUACGCAAUUGGGUUGGAACAACUUUCACAUGCC
rnacentral:lncRNA from 1 species